rnacentral:lncRNA from 1 species
AUCCUCUUCUCUGUGGGCAACCAACCGACAUAAGCUGCAACGGUAAUAACUUUCAAGAACCAGACAAUAACGAAGUGAAUGCUGAUGAAUCCACAAUCGACAAGUUAUCUUUCUGCUGGAGUUUUGCUGCAGCCUAUGUGACAGUACUUAUUGGAUUAUUUGCAUCUCUCUCUUUUGAUUCUCCGUGGAGCAGAGCGUGGUUUUACAUCGUUGAUGCUGUUCUCCACAAGGUGACGAGUUUUUUUGGGUAAACUACUGUUGGUUUCAAAUCCUGUUCCAUCUGUUGUUGUUUUUCACAAAACUUCUUGCUUUGUGUUACAAAACCAAAUCACAACUUGUGCUGGGUUCCUGUGUAUUGUCUGUCUUUAAAUAAUUGUAAUGCUUGAAACUUGGAGAAAAUGCCUAAUAUUCUCAUCUACCAGAAGAAAUUGCAAUAGAUUAUCGAUGCUUCCAUUGCCUCUACGAAUAGUAUGUUGUCUUAAAAAGAAUUUAAAUCCUUUCAGCUUCACUUCUCAAAGAUUUUCUCUUUUUUUUUUUUGGCCAAGAAAAAGUUUAAUUGCUUUUUGCUAUUACGGCGAUCUAAUAGUGACCGUCGUGACAUCAUCCUUUGUCACGCCGUUGCUGGCGACGGACAGUCAAAAAUCUUUCGCGGAGACAAAAUGAUGCCACCAUACGACGGCGUUUUACUGUUUCAGGCGUAACUAAGAGAGCCAAACUCAGUGACCGUUGAGCAGAUCUUAAAGGUUAGAACUUUUUUUUCAUUGACUGUCUCGUGUAUUCUUUUACAAAGACCUUGGCUUUGUAUGCCAAAAACGAGUCUUUUCAUACAAUUCAAAGUAAACGAUAGUGAUCCCUCUCUCACACGACUUUUUAAGUGUUUUCGUUAAAUGGGACAUCGAUUUUCUUAAUGUAUUCAAGUAGUUCCUUGUUGAACUUGGCUUUUACCAUGGAAACUUGAAUAGUAACUUGAAAAGAAGAGAAUUUGGAGGAUGAUGAAGAUGGGAAACCGUGCGAUAUUGGCAGAUGAUGAUUCUGGAUCACGUAGCUUGGUUUAUUUCUUACUCUUUGUUUCCAUCACCGGUAAUUCUUCAACUCUUCAUUUUUUUUUUUGGUUAUUUUUCGUGGAAAUAUACUGUGUGAUCUGCUUGACUAUGUUUUUUUUUUUCUCUAUUCUGGUUUCUGUUUCCUUGACGUUUACUUCAAUUGGUUGAAAUUAUGAGAUGUGAUUUUGAGUGAUGAAAUUUAGAUUUCUAUGCCGAACUUGACCUGAUUUUAUUUUAUGGAUUAUUGUUAUUCACUUGAAAGUUAAUGCGAGAGAUGAAGCUCGAGUAUCAUAAAUUUGGGUUUUUUUUAUUGUGUGUUGAUGAAUCACAGUUUCAAUUUUUCCUCUGUUUGACGAGCAUGAUAACAAGAAUUGCGAAUAUUAUAGAUAACUAAAAAUGACGUCAUCCAGGAUUUUGGUGGUAAAGUUGUAUGUAGCUUAUAUCUGAAGAUUUCGUUUUCUGUGUUUUGAUUUUUCCUACAUGGCAGCCAUAGCAGUGGCCGGAGAUUCUCUGGACAGUGAUGGAGAAGUCUUAUUGAACCUGAAAUCUUACCUCGAAUCUCGUAACCCAACGAACAGAGGAAUGUACACGGAAUGGAAAAUGGAGAAGCAAGACGUGUGUCAAUGGCCUGGAAUCACAUGCACGCCUCAGGGAAGUAGAGUCACAGGGAUCAAUCUAAGUGAUUUAACCAUCUCAGGUGCUCUGUUCGGGAACUUCUCUGCCUUGACGCAGCUCACAUAUCUCGAUUUAUCAAGGAACACCAUCGAAGGCUGGAUUCCAGAUGACCUGAGCCGUUGUCACAACCUAAAGCAUCUGAAUCUUUCUCAUAACAUCCUUGACGGAGAGCUUAGCUUACCAGGUUUAUCAAAUCUUGAGGUUCUUGAUCUAUCGGUGAAUAGGAUUGCAGGUGAUAUUCACUCUAGCUUCCCAUUGUUCUGCAACAGCCUCGUUGUUGCAAAUCUGUCGGCCAAUAACUUUACUGGCAGAAUCGAUGACAUCUUCAAUGGGUGUAGGUAUCUGAAGUAUGUCGACUUCAGUUCCAACAGAUUCAGUGGAGAUAUAUGGAGUGGUUUUGGGAGGCUGGUUCAGUUUUCAGUUUCUGAGAAUCAUCAUCUCUCCGGGAACAUCUCAGCUUCCAUGUUCAGGGGGAACUGUACUUUGCAAGUCUUGGAUUUGUCUGAGAACAGUUUUGUUGGGGAAUUUCCAGGCCAGGUUUCGAAUUGCCAGAAUCUGAAUGUACUGAAUCUGUGGGGAAACAACUUCACAGGGAAAAUUCCAGCUGAGAUAGGCUCCAUAUCCUCUCUUAGAGGUUUGUAUUUGGGGAAUAAUAAAUUUUCUCGAGACAUACCAGAAUCUCUCUUGAACUUGAGCAACUUGGUGUUUUUGGAUUUGAGCAGAAAUCAUUUUGGAGGAGACGUACAAGACAUAUUCGGGAGAUUCACUCAAGUAAAGUAUCUAGUCCUGCAUGGGAACUCGUACGUUGGAGGCAUCUAUUCUUCAAACAUCCUCAAGUUACCUAAUCUUCUCAGGCUAGAUCUGAGCUACAACAGCUUUUCUGGCCAGUUGCCUGCUGAAAUUUCCCAGAUCCAGAGUUUGAAGUUCUUGAUUCUUGCUUAUAAUAACUUCAGCGGUGAUAUACCACAGGAAUAUGGGAACAUGCCGGGUCUUCAAGCACUUGAUCUCUCCUUUAACAACCUGACCGGUUCGAUACCAGCUUCAUUUGGAAAAUUGACGUCUCUUCUGUGGCUAACGCUUGCAAAUAACUCUCUGUCAGGAGAAAUCCCUCGAGAGAUUGGAAACUGCACGAGUCUUUUAUGGUUUAACGUGGCAAACAACCAGCUCUCUGGUAGAUUCCAUCCUGAACUGACUAAAAUGGGUAGCAAUCCUUUUCCAACGUUUGAAGUGAACAGGCAGAACAAAGACAACAUAAUUGCAGGUUCCGGUGAAUGCUUGGCGAUGAGGAGAUGGAUUCCUGCAGAGUUCCCUCCAUUCAUGUUUGUAUAUGCAAUUCUUACAAAACAGAGUUGCGGAAGCCUAUGGGACCAUGUUCUUAAAGGGUACGGUCUCUUUCCUGUCUGCUCUGCUGGUUCCACAGUACGCACGCUUGAUAUUUCAGCCUAUCUUCAGCUCAGUGGAAACAGGCUAUCCGGUGAGGUUCCUGCAAAUAUCUCUCAGAUGAAGAAGUUGAGUACGCUUCAUUUGGGUUUCAAUGAGUUCGAAGGGAAACUGCCUAUAGGGAUUGGACAGUUGCCUCUCGCAUUUCUCAACCUGACCCGAAACCAUUUCUCAGGCCAGAUUCCUCAAGAAAUCGGAAAUCUCAUGUGUCUGCAGAAUCUUGAUCUGUCCUACAAUAAUUUCUCAGGAGAUUUUCCGACAAGUUUAAAUGACUUGAAUGAGAUGAGCAAGUUCAACAUCUCAUAUAACUCCUUCAUUUCUGGUGUGAUACCGUCGACGGGACAACUGGCAACCUUUGAAGAAGACUCUUUUCUUGGAAAUCCCCUGCUGCAGUUUCCUAGUUUCUUCAACCAAUCAAGGAACAACACUUCGAGCUCAGGGGAAGCAGAUAAUGGAAGCGAAGAAGAAGAAGAAGAUGAAGCUGCUAUUGACAUGUCGGUCUUCUAUUGGAGUAGUGCAGUUUCAUUUUUUGUGACUGUGAUGAUAGGCUUUUUUGUUCUCCUGUGCUUUGAUUGUCCUUGGAGCCGAGCAUGGUUCCACCUUGUCGAUGCUUUCAUCGCCUCUGCGAAAAGUAUGUUUCCUUAAAAUCAUGUCAGCUCAGUUCUUGGAUGAUCCUUAUCAAAAACUUUUUUUUUUUUUUUUUCUAUUUGCUUUCUCUUAGCGUGAUUUUCUAACAAAAGAAGCUCUCUGAAAAAUGGUGAUAGUCUUAUCCACUUCUAACUUUGAAGUUUAAAGCUAAUUGUUUUUGUUUCGUCCAAAAAAAAAAAAAGCUAAUUGUUUUUGCUACCACGGCGAUCUAAUAAUUGUUCUUGUACGCCGGCGAUGGAAAAACGACACAACUUAACGACAGUGUUUUCUUUUUCGACGGUGUUUGACCAAAAUAAAAUUAUGAUACUGUUGGGACAGAUACAAAAGCUGUAUUGAGGAAGAAAGGAAAGCUUUCUUGGUGCUCAAGAAAUACAUAAACUCACAAAGUAUUGCAGGGUCCCCCGAAUUUUGUUCUUUCUAUUGGACUAAUGACACAAAGAUCGAUUGCUGCCUGUGGAAAGGCGUCGAGUGCAAUCGUACAAGCGGGCGGGUGACCAAGAUUGCCUAUGGUGAUUUGUACUUCAAAGAGAGUUCUCUCCUAAACCUUUCUUUGCUGUAUCCCUUUGAAGAAGUACGAAGUCUAGACUUUUACGGGUCCGGACUCAAGGGAGAUCUGGCAUCUUCUAUUGGCAACAUGAAAAUGAUUGAAUUUCUGGAUAUAUUUCACAACAGUUUCCAUGGAAAGCUACCAAGAAGUUUUGUAGAAGGUUGUCAUUCCUUAAAAAAUCUUGAAGCUUUCACAUAACCAACUAAGUGAGAGAUUUACCUAGAAUCAGCCAACUUUGCGGGUAUAUAUGCAUUGUCUAUGGAUAACAAUUAGUUUACAGGAAAGAUUGGACAAGGUUGGCAUUACUCGAGAUCUUUGUAUAUGCUUGACUUUUCGAACAACAAUCUCUCGGGUGCUGUCCCAAAACCGGAACAUAGCUUGUGUUUGGUUAUUGUGUGCUAUCUAUCUAAUUUGAAUAAUAUGUAAUGCCUUAAACAUAUCGUGGAAUUGGUUGGGUGGUUGGCUAGCUCAAUACAUAAUAUAAAAAACACAUGAACUUUAACAUGAAAAAAUCUCAAAAUAGAAAGAGAAUUUCCCAUUAGUUCUCUUUAUUUUUGGGGAAUGAUCUUAAAUAUAUACUGUAUACCGCUUCACAGUUUUCCACUGAGCAUUUCAAUUACCUCUUUGUCAAAAAAAGAAUGUUAAUGCUUAUAAGCAUGAGGUAUUUGUGACAUCAUAGUGUACUUACAAAGUUACAAUCCAUUUAAAAAAUGACUCUUCUAAACAAUGGCGUUUCUUUAAACUCUGCUGCAUUGUGCAAUUAGAGAAACGAGAAAAUCAUAGAAGGAAAUAAAUAUUGAAAAGAAGAAAAUGACAGUUAGAGGAAACAUCUUUCUUUUACAGAAAAAGAAUAUACUUUUAUUUGUUCUUGUGCUUUAUUUAUUUUUUUCUACAAACGACUCUGAAUAAGGAAGAGAUGUUUACCUCCAAAUUUCCUCUUGAUUAGUGAGAGGAAAACAUUUCGAAAUAGUUUUUCUGAACUUUUUCAUUUAAUUCGUUUCGUCAUGAUUUAAAGCUUGGUCGAAGUAAGACUAAGAGAAGCUGACCAACACCGACGGCUAGCGUUUUAGUAUUGGCAGAGUCAACACCGGCGUAACCAAUCUAGUAGAGCCACAUCAGAAAUUCCUUGACCGUUGGGUCUAUUCCUAAAGUGUAGUGGUUGUUAUUCCACAUCAUAACUUUAAUUCCUUGAAUUAUAUUGUGCUAUAAUAUAAGCUUGGAAAACAAACCUUCGAUGACAUUUCAACAACAAAUCAUUGAAAUUUUCAUCAUAUUUUCUAAGGUUAGAAAUUGUUGGCGAAACCAGUCUUAUAUCAUUAGGAGUCAAAGUAACCAAUAUGAUCACAUGACUUUAGAAGUGUUUUCUUUCAUCGAUCGAGACUUUAAAUUAGUUAAUAUAACAUAUAUUAAUCGUUGAACUUGGUGUUUUCAACGAAAGUUUCGAAAUCCUUAUAAACGUGGAGGUAUACUCCCAUUCCCAUAUUGCGUUUGAGUCUCUUCUAUAUUAUUUUAUUUGCAUUUGAGUCUCUUUCUUUCAUAUUAUUUUUAUCAUAUUCGCGAUGGAAGGGAAGGUGUCAUUGUGUCAAAAGCUGAUAUGUGUGAUGCUAAUAGUGGGGCAGCUACAUGGAUACUAAAGCUGUGUUGAGAAUGAAAAGAUGGCUUUGUUUGACCUAAAGAAAUUCUUGAUCUCAAGGAGUGAUCAAGAAUGGGAACACGACUCUGUUCUCCCUACUUGGACUAAUGACACAAAGAGCGAUUGCUGCCUGUGGAAAGGAGUCGAGUGCAAUCAUACAAGCGGACGGGUUAUUGGGAUUGCCUUUGGUGAAGUGUAUCUCAAAGAGGAUUCUCUUUUUGAUCUUUCUUUGCUGCAUCCCUUUGAAGAGCUUCGAAUUUUGAAUUUAUCCGGGGAAGCAUUAAACAAAUUCAGUGGCUUGUUUGAUAAUUUGGAAGGUACAUCAAGCUUAUUCCUUCAGAUAAUAUGGCUUUUCUCUGUUUAUGCAUUUGCUCUGAUAUUUGUGUGCCAUAUUGCAUGUUGCAAUCACAUCAGAUGUCACUUGCAUUCCCUUUCACAUUCAAAAUAGUAAAAAGUUAUUGGACUUGUUAUCAAUUUAUGCUUACCAAGGUUCUCGUUUGCAGGUUAUAAAAGCCUCAGAAGAUUAAGAAACUUGGAGAUUCUGGAUCUCUCCUUAAACAACUUUAACAACAGCAUCUUUCCAUUUAUUAAUGCCGCUACAUCACUUAGAACUCUGUUUCUUAGGUCCAACAACAUGGAUGGCUCUUUUCCUGUUAAAGGUAUAUUCUCCAUUCUUAACUAAGUCAACAUCUAACAUGGCUUAUAUCCGAUGAUGUCUCUUUCUUUGACUCGAUUCAAUGUAUACUUACUGUUAAAACUUUCUAUAUAUGUCUUAAUUUCAGCUUUGUAGUAUUCUUAUAUUCGUUGGACUCCCUUCAGAACUUGGAGAUUUGAAAAACUUGGAAGUGCUUGACCUGAGUAGAAACAGAUUCAACGGCUCCAUACCAGUACAAGGUAGUUGUCCAUAAAUGCUUGCUCUACCGUUGAAAUUUAAUCGAUUUUUAACGUCCGCACCAACAUUGGUUGAUCACUGGCUUAUAUCAUCCUUGAGAUCAUCAUGUUCAUUUAUAAAGUUGUUUACCUCUCUGUGGCUUUGUCUUGUGGCAGAGUUAUCUCACAUGAGUAACCUGAAAGCUCUGGAUCUAAGUGGCAAUGAAUUUUCUGGCUCAAAGGAAUUGCAAGGAAAGUUUGCUUAAAUGUUUAUUUCUUUUGACUAAAACUUGUGUUCUGAAUUCACGUUUCUAUAAGUGACCGUAGUUUUCUACAUUUGAUUACCUUAGGUAUUUGCAAAUUGAAGAAUAUACAAGAGCUCGAUCUCAGUCAAAACAAUCUUGUAGGUCAGUUCCCCUUAUGUUUAACUAGCUUGACUGGACUUCGAGUUCUUGAUCUCUCAUCUAACCAAUUGACGGGGAAGCUACCAUUUUCUCUCGGUAGCCUUAAAUCCCUCGAGUAUCUGUCGUUGUUUCAUAACGACUUCCAAGGAUUUUUCUCACUUGGUUCCCUAACCAAUCUCUCAGAACUUAAGGUGUUGAAACUUGGCUCCAAAUCCAACUCACUUCAACUAGUGUCGGAUAGUUCUUGGAAGCCAAAAUUUCAGUUGCAUGUUAUUGCACUACAAUCUUGCAAUUUGGAGAAGGUUCCUCAAUUUCUCCUACACCAAAAGGAAUUGCGUCAUGUUGAUCUCUCCCACAAUAAUAUCUCUGGAGAGUUUCCUUCUUGGCUGUUGGCGAACAAUAGGAAACUCAAAGUUUUGCUUCUACAGGAAAAUUCCUUUACGAGCUUUCAGCUACCAAAAUCUGCUGAUCAUAGUCUUCUUUUCAUGGAUGUUUCUGUUAAUAAAUUCAACCACCUGCUUCCUGAGAACAUUGGGUGGAUUCUUCCUCACUUACGGUAUAUGAAUAUCUCGAAGAACGAUUUUCAAGGAAAUCUGCCAUCUUCUCUGGGUAACAUGAAGAAUAUUGAGUAUCUGGAUCUCUCUCGCAACAGUUUCCACGGGAAGCUUCCAAGAAGUUUUGUGAAAGGUUGUAAUGCCAUGGCAAUCUUGAAGCUGUCACAUAACAAACUAAGUGGAGAGAUUUUUCAAGAACCACCCAACUUUACUAAUAUAAUGUUUAUGGAUAACAAUCUUUUUACAGGAAAGAUUGGACAAGGUUUGCAGAGCCUGAGAAACUUGUCACUGCUUGACAUUUCAAACAACAAUCUCACAGGUGUUAUACCAAGCUGGAUUGGCGAACUUCCAUCCUUGACUGCACUACUGAUUUCAAACAACUUGUUGGAAGGUGAAAUACCUGCAUCGCUGUUCAACAAAUCCAGUCUUCAGCUACUUGACCUCUCUGCAAACAGUUUGUCUGGGCACAUACAUCCACACAUCAGUUCUACAAGUGGGGUUGUGUUACUCCUUCAAGACAAUCAUCUAUCAGGAGAUAUUCCAGACACAUUGCUGGCAAAUGUCAGCAUACUUGAUCUAAGAAACAACAGAUUGUCUGGGAAUAUACCAGAGUUCAUCAACACACAAAACAUCAGUGUUCUUCUUCUCCGAGGGAAUAAUUUAACAGGCAGCAUUCCCCACCAGUUGUGUGGCCUAAGAAACAUCCAACUUCUGGAUCUUGCCAACAACAGAUUGAAUGGAUCCAUACCUUCAUGUCUCAGCAAUACAUCAUUUGUUUUUGGGAAAGAAUGUACAUCAUAUGAUUAUGAUUUCGGCAUUUCUUUCCCUUCAGAUGUCUUCAGCGGUUUUUAUCUGCAACAAGACUUGUCUUCCACAAAAAACGUCAAAUCUCUGCUCAUGCUUGAUCCGUUUAGUAUGGACUACAAGGCAAUCACACAGACGAAAAUUUCUUUUGCAACAAAACACCGAUACGAUGCCUACAUGGGUGGAAAUCUCAAAUUACUGUAUGGAUUGGAUCUCUCAGAAAACGAGCUGAGCGGUGAGAUUCCGGUUGAGUUUGGAGAUCUUCUGGAACUAAGAGCUUUCAAUCUUUCUCACAACAAGUUAUCAGGAGUGAUACCAGAAACCUUUUCAGGUAUGAAGAAUGUGGAAAGUCUUGAUCUUUCUUUCAACAGAUUACAUGGCCGGAUCCCAACACAACUAACAGAGCUGAGCAGCCUUUUGGUCUUCAAGGUCUCGUACAACAACUUAUCAGGAGUCAUUCCACAGGGAAAACAGUUUAACACCUUCGAUACACAAAGCUUCGAAGGUAAUCAACUUCUCUGUGGACAACCAACAAGCAGAAGCUGUAACAUUGAUAAUACCUUUCAAGAACCAGACGAUGAAGUGGAAGCUGAUGAAUCCGCAAUCGACAUGGAAUCUUUCUACUGGAGUUUCGCUGCAGCGUAUGUGACAAUACUUGAUGGAAUAUUCGCAUUGCUCUCAUUUGAUUCUCUUUGGAGAAGAUUGUGGUUCUACAUCGUUGAUGCUUUCAUCUACAAGGUGAGGAAUCAGUUGUGGUAAAAUCAGCAUCGUUGAUGAUUUCAUCUACCAUAGAUGCAGUCUUUAUGGUAUCUUUCCCCAAGAGUUUUGCUAUAGCUUAUGUGACACCAUAGUGCUGGGAAUACUCAGCUUCACUCCCUUUUGAUUCUCUUUGGAGCAGAGCUUGGUUUAGUGUUGUUAAGGCUUUUAUCCAUAAGAUGAAAGCUUUCUUAUCCUAAAUUACAGUGGUUAAGAGUGUAAGCUGGUCUCUUGAAAGUAUAUAAUCAUUUGUUGUGACAAUUCCGUUCUGAUAUACUUGUAAUUUGUUCUUCAGCUCGACGAUCAGUACUUCCUGAUUCUUAAUCGCUUUUUUUUUUUAACUCUGUUACAGAAUAUCCAUUAUUGGUCAUUAACCAAUAAAUCCUAUUUGGCUACCUACUUUUUUAACCCUUGAAUUAUUAUUACGUGGUAUAUAAGCUUGAGGGAAAAAAAUUGCUUUUAAACUUGGCUUUAAACAAGCUACCAAUUUGUGAAAAAGGCACGUUUACUAUGUAACAAAACCUUACCAACCGUGUCUCGUAGAACCCAUGCAACUCCUCCCUACUUCUUUUGUUUGGAGAAGGAAAAUCCGAUGUUGCAUUUUAACCAGUUCAUUGGAGAAAAUGUACUUUUUUCCUUGGCUUUGCUUCUCGUUUAAUUUAGGCGUUUUGGGUUAUUGUAAGAUUCUAUAACAUUCGAUAAAAUCUAGAUGACCAAAAAAAAAAAAGCUCGAGGGAAAAAAUAUAUAUUCCAAUAUUUUCCAUAUUAUCAUCCUUUAACUCUAUUGCUAAGCAAUUUCCUGUGACUUAUGGUCGAAGUAAAAGAUGCUGACCGCACAAUUUCUACGGAGACCUUGACUUAAAAAAUGAUGCCAAACGAAUCUAAGCUUAUCAUACGACUCAAAGUAAACGCCAGACCACAGUGGUCACUCAUGCCCCGACGACUGGGACCUGAAUUGACUUUGUAAGUGUGCAAUUAUUUCCUUGAAUUUGGUGUAUUCCUCUGGAAAUUUAAAGAACCCUUGUAAAUGUGGACAAGUCACUUUGGAUUAUCAAUCAUUUGCUUUUUUUUUUCCGGUUUAUUUGCAAUGGAAGGGAAGGUGUUCUUGGGAAAAUACUUGAUAUGACUGAUGUUACUGUUGGGGCAGCUACAUGGAUACCAAAGCUGUGUUGAGAAAGAAAGGAAUGCUUUGCUGCAGCUCAAGAAUUACUUUGUCUCAAUUACUCGAGAAGUUUUCGUAGACGAUGUUCUCCCUACUUGGACUAAUGACACAAAGAGCAAUUGCUGCGGCUGGGAUGGCCUUAGGUGCAAUCUUACAAGCGGACGGGUGACCGAGAUUGCCCUUUCUGGCACCUAUCCCUUUCUGACAAUCUUAAAAGAGAAUUCUCUCCUUAAUCUUUCGUUGCUACAUCCUUUUGAAGAUGUUCGAAGUCUGAACUUCUCCGGGCACCUUCUCAGUGGCUUGUUUGAUGACGUUGAAGGUAUACCAGGCUUUCCCUAGUAGUUAGCUUUUAAUAUUCUGUUUUUCAUUGGAACUUUCAUGUUUUCUCUCCUUUAGGGAUCUACUUCUCUGAAGAACCUAUAUGGACUAGAUCUUUGUUCAUUGUUUCUAGUUCUUGAAAGUUAUUGUUUCUCGUUGCAGGUUGUAAAAGCUUGAGGAGAUUAAGAAACCUGGAGAUUCUGGAUCUCUCUUAUAAUGAAUUCAACAACAGUAUCUUUCCCUUUCUUAACGCUGCUACAUCACUCACAACUCUUUUUCUUAGGGGCAACAACAUGGUUGACCCUUUUCCUGUUAAAGGUAUGUUUUACCAUUUGUAUAUAUAUAGCAUGUCCUAAUUCUUUUAGGGACGAUGUAUCAUUCUUAUAUUUGUUGGACUCCAUUUCAGAACUCAAAGAUUUGACAAACUUGGAACUGCUGGACCUGAGUGAAAACAGAUACAACGGCUCCAUACUAGUACGAGGUAGUCCAUAAAUGCUUGCUUUCUUACAACAUUUGUUGGAUUGGUUUGCCUCGUCCUUGAGAUGAACAUAUCCAUAUUUUGUUACCUUUGUCUGUGGCAGAGAUAACUUCGCUCAGAAAGCUGAAAGCUCUGGAUCUAAGUGGUAAUGAAUUUUCGGGUUCAAUGGAUUUGCAAGGCAAGUUUGCUAAAAUAUUAUUUCGUUAUGGAAGUCGUGUCUUUGUAUUGAUACAUAGAGCUCUGUUAUAUAUUCAGAGUGAGCUGUACAAGUAAGGUAAUAUAAUAUACAAUAGUAAUGAAGGCAUAAUCAGAGGGAUUCUAACGUAAACACUAACGUAUACUUUCUAUGAAUACUAUAUUUCCUAUACACCCCUCAAGACGGACGUGGAGAUGCAAGUCCGAUCUUGACUGUAAGUAACUCAAACCGAGCUCUUGAUAACGCUUUUGUGAGUGCAUCAGCCAACUGAUCCUGCAAAGAAACAUGAGAGACCCGAAGCUGACCUGACUGAAUAUAGUUUCGAACGAAAUGGUAAUCCAAGGCCAAAUGCUUCAUACGUGAGUGAAAGACAGGAUUUGCGGCUAAGUACGUCGCACCAAUAUUUUCACAAUAAAUCACCGGAGACGUAUUGUUGUUAACCCCAAGCUCAGAUAAUAACGAUUGGAUCCAGAUAACUUCCGCUGUGGUGGAAGCAAGUGAUCGGUAUUCCGCCUCUGUGGAUGAACGAGCUACACCAGUUUGCUUCUUUGAUGACCAUGCGAUGGGAUGACGUCCGAGAUAAACAAUGUAUGCACCAGUGGAUGUGUAAUCAUCUUUGUUUCCAGUCCAGUCUGCGUCGGUGAAAGCAUGUAGAGCUGUAGUGUUCUUGGCAUGAAGGAAAAUUCCCUUCGUCGUUGUGCCCGCAAGAUAGCGAAGGAUUCUUUUAACGGCGUUCCAGUGCUCUGUGGUUGGUUUAUGCAUGUAUUGAGAGAGCUUGUUUACAGGAAACGAGAUAUCAGGGCGUGUAAGCGAGAGGUAUUGUAAGCUCCCAACAACCAUGCGAUAUUCUGUUGGAUCCUCCAAAGGUGUACCCGAAGUCAGUGUGAGAGUCAAGUUCGGACACAUUGGUGUUGUCACCGGUUUGCAGUUUUCCAUCUUUGUCCGGUGUAACAAAUCUGCAAUAAAACGAGUUUGUGUCAGAUGCAUCCCGGUUUCAUUGCGAUGAACUUCAAUACCAAGAAAGAAAGAGAGAUCUUCAAGGUCCUUUAGUGAAAACCAUUUUGACAAUGAUGCAAUAAAACGAUUUGUAUAUGAACUAUUAUUGCCUGUGAUAACUAAAUCAUCAACAUAAACAAGCAUAUAAAUUAAAACUCCCUGUUUGUUGUAGAUAAAUAGUGAUGCAUCGGCCAAAGAAUUUGAGAAGCCAGACUGUAAGAGAAAGCUACGCAGCUCAUUGUACCAAGCUCGCGGGGCUUGUUUUAAACUAUAAAUAGCCUUUCGUAAGCGACAGACAGCGAGUGGAUUAUCUUUGUCGACAAAACCUGGAGGUUGCAUCAUGUAGACUUUAUCAGAAAAAGUCCCUUGAAGGAAUGCAUUGUUAACAUCAAGUUGACGAAUAGGCCAAUUUUGUGUGACAGCAACACUAAGAACGGUCCUUAUUGUGGCUGGUUUAACAACAGGACUAAACGUGUCAUGAUAAUCUAUCCCUGGCCUUUGCGUGAAUCCUCUUGCAACCAGACGAGCCUUAUAACGAGCAAUUGUUCCAUCGGGAUUUCGUUUAAUGGUGAAGAUCCACUUGCAACCUACAACAUUAAAACGAGAGUCAGUAGAUAAAUUUUCAAGAUCCCAAGUUCUAUGGCCGAUUUGAGCAUUAUACUCCUCACUCAUGGCUUUUUGCCAAUGAGGACUCUUAAGUGCUUGUGCCACCGAGGUUGGAGGUUUCUCCAUUGUUUGUGUGACGGAAGUGUGAAGAUUUAACUUCUGCACUGGUUUCCUUUGUCUCGUGCUUUGCCGCACAGGAGGUGGAAGAACAGGUGUAGGAGCUGUGACGGUGAUGACAGGUGAAACGGCCUGAGAUGAAAGUUGAUAAGCCGUUGGCUGAGACUGGUCUGUUGAAGCUUCCGCGUUCUUCUCAGGUGAAGUCUGUAAAGACUCCUCUGUCGGAGCUGUUGUGUGAGCUGAUGAUGACGGAGUUUGCGCAAUUGUUGGUGACGAGUUAACUGGUGUCGUUGUUGUUGUAACAGGGGAUACAUUUUCCUGAGUUGGUACCUGUACUGAAACGGAAGGAGAGAAAACUGGAACAACAGAAACAGACGGUUGGCUAACAUCGUUAGAUUCAUUAGACUCUUGCAAUUCUAAGUUGGAUGAAAGUGCAAAAGGAAAAACCGAUUCAUGAAACACUACAUGUCUAGAUGUGUAAAUCCUUGAUGUAGUACGAUCUAAACAAAAAUAUGCACUUUGCGUGUUGGAAUACCCUAUGAAAACACAUGGAGUUGAUCUUGCGUCUAAUUUAUUUGAUGCAUACGGCCUAAGCCACGGAAAACACAAGCAUCCAAAUAUUUUUAAUUUUGAAAGUUUGGACUAUAUCCAUGAAGACGCUGAAAAGGAUUUCCAUAAUUAAGAACUUGUGAUGGCAUUCUAUUGAUUAAAUAAACUGCCGUUGCAAACGCAUACGUCCAGAAUGACCUAGGCAUAGAUGCAUGAGAAAGCAGAGCAAGCCCUGUUUCUACAAUAUGUCGGUGACGACGUUCUGCAAUGCCAUUAUGCUCAGGCGUAUGCGGUGGACUUGUCAUGUGAGAAAUACCAUUACGUGAAAGAAAUUCUCGUAAACCAAUGUAUUCACCCCCAUUAUCCGUAUAUAAAGUUCUAAGCUUGCUUUGAAAUCGAUUUUAAACCAAUACUUUGAACCGGGUAAAUAUCUCAAAGACCUGAGAUUUUAAUUUCAAUGGAUAAAACCAAGUGUAUCUAAUGUAAUGAUCUACAAAUAUCACAUAAUAUUUGAAACCAUCAACUGAAUGUAUUGGAGAUGUCCAAACAUCGAAAAACACUAUAUCAAGAGGCUGAAUAGAUUGUAAAGACGAAUUUUGAAAAGGUAACUUAUGCAUUUUAUUAAUCGAACAUGCAUUGCAAGGCUGAGCCAUUAAAGCAUUGGAAACAAUUGGUAAUUGAAAUUAAGAAACUACUUUUUGAAGAAUUGGAAAUGCAGGGUGUCCUAAACGAGAAUGCCAAGCAGAUAAACUAGUUUGAACUUUAGAAGCAAAUGCUAAUGAGGGUGGUUUUGCCGAAUUUGUUUUCGGCCACUCAUACGUCCCAUCUUUAGGUUUCCCUUCUAGACGUAGAGCUCCCGUUUGCAAAUCCCUCACCUGAAAAUAUGUUGGAGUAAACGUAACAGCUACGCCAUUAGUAGAACAUAAUUGAAACACAGAAAUCAAGUUCUUGUCAAGUGCAGGAACACAUAAGACAUUAUUUAAAAAGAAUGGACGGGUAUAAGAGGGAAGAGAUAAAGAACCAGAGUGUGAGAUGUGCAAACCAGAACCAUCACCAAGAACCCCAUCACCUCCUUCAUAUAGAUUAUGCAUGGAGAGAUUGGCCAAGUCUGAUGUCAUGUGGUGAGAGGCUCCAGAAUCCACCAGCCAAGUCGACGAAUCUGAGAGCAUAGCUGGAUUAGCACUCGGCUGCCAUGUCUGAAAUUGAGUAGCCGCAUUCCAUGCAUUGUUGUUUCGCUGUUGGUGUUGCCUCUGUGGUGUCUGUGAUGGUCCUUUGACAAUUCGAAAGUCAGGACAGUACUUCGCACUAUGACCUUGUAUCCCACAUGCUUGACAACGUUCCAAAUACGGUGUGGAGAAACGUUACUGGUUGUUGAAUUGCUGUGGACGAGCUUGAUUAUGAUUUUAAUUGUUGGUGCUGUUGUUGUGCCAUUGUUGACGGGGACGAGUAUCAGUAGCAUUAGCCACGAUUGGAGUAACCGCCGUGGAGCUGUUGCACAUAAUCAUUGCUUCACGAUUAAGGAGACGUUCAUACAGCUCAGCAUAAGAGAUGGUAGAGUCACGCCCAUGAAUAGCAUCGAUCUCUGGUUUGUAAUCUUCACUAAGACCAGCCAAAAUCUUCUCCGUAAAGUCAUCAGCAUCCAUGGGUUUCCCAAGGAGAGCAAGAUCAUCAAAUUUAGAUUUCAUGUGACGAAGAUAUUCACUAAUCGUCUUUGUACCUUUAACGCCGGUGUCGAUCUGGUGCUUCAGCUGACGAACAUGGCCACGAGACCCAGAUCCAAAGGUAGUAGCCAAUAUGGACCACGCCUCUUUGGUUGUAUUGGCACUGGAGACCACUGACUGAACCGGCAUGGAGAUCGCACCAAUGAGCGAGCUAUAAAGCAAACGAUCUUGACGUUUCCAUGGAACAUACGCAGGAUUGGUUGACGAAACUCUAUUCUGUGUCACCGUCGGUGUCGGAGCAGCUCCGGUGUCCUCAAUGAAAUGUUGUAACUCAUGUCCUUCAAGUAAGGCACGUACUUGUUUACUCCACAUAAGAUAGUUGAGAUUGGUGAGUUUUGUGAUACCCGACAUAUUGAUGGAAAGAAGCGUGCUUUGUGGAUCUUGAGCAUUAAAAACAGAGGUACGAUCUGCUGUGGAUUCAGAAGCCAUGAUGAUAAGAAGAAGAAACACGAAAUAGAGAAGAAAAGUUUGGACGAAGAAGAAAAGAGAACGAAGAAGAAGAAGACAAGAGAAGAGAAGAUGCGGCGGUGAAAAAAAAAUUGUAGGUUCAAAGACCUAAAAGUGCUCUGAUCCAUAUUAGGUUAUGGAAGUCGUGUCUUUGUAUUGAUACAUAGAGCUCUGUUAUAUACCCAGAGUAAGCUGUACAACUAAGGUAAUAUAAUAUACAAUAGUAAUGAAGGCAUAAUCAGAGGGAUUCUAACAUAAACACUAACGUAUACUUUCUAUAAAUACUAUAUUUCCUAUAAAUAUUUCACUUUUUCACACUAAAACAGUAAAAAAAAACAAAAAACAAAGGUUGUGGUUGAAUUCACCUUAAUGUAAGUGACUAAUUUUUUUUGCAUCUGAUUACCGUAGGGAUAUGCAAAUUGAAGAAUAUGCAAGAGCUCGAUCUCAGUCGCAACAAACUUGUAGGUCAGUUUCCCUUAUGUUUAACUAGCUUGACUGGACUUCGAGUUCUUGAUCUCUCAUCAAACCAGUUGACUGGGGAGAUCCCAUCUGCUCUCGGUAACUUUGAAUCCCUUGAGUAUUUAUCAUUGUUAGAUAACGACUUUGAAGGCUUCUUCUCAUUUGGUUGGCUCGUCAAACUCUCAGAGCUUAAAGUGUUGAAACUUGGCUCAAAAUCCAACUCGUUUCAAGUAGAUUCUAAGAGUUCUUGGAAACCAAAAUUUCGGUUGAAUGCUAUUGUACUACGAUCUUGCAACUUGGAAAUAGUUCCUCGUUUUCUCCUACAGCAGAAAGGUUUGCGUCUUGUUGAUCUCUCACACAAUAAAAUUUCUGGAAACUUUCCUUGUUGGCUAUUGGCGAACAAUACAGAGCUCAGAGUUUUGCUUCUGCAGAAUAAUAUUCUUACGAGCUUUCAGCUACCGGAAUCUGCUCAUGAUCUACGUUCCCUUGACGUGUCAGUCAAUGAAUUCAAUCAUAUGUUUCCUGAGAACAUUGGGUUGAUACUUCCACAUUUACGGUAUAUGAAUAUAUCGAAGAACGCCUUUCAAGGAAAUCUGCCAUCUUCUCUGGGUAACAUGAUUGGGAUUGAAACUCUGGAUGUAUCUCACAACAGUUUCCAGGGAAAGCUACCAAGAAGCUUAGUAAAGGGUUGUUAUAACUUGGCUUACUUGAAGUUGUCACAUAACAAACUAAGUGGAGAGGUUUUUCCAGAAUCAGCAGAGUUAUAUGAUUUACGUUGGCUGUAUAUGGAUAACAAUCAGUUUACAGGAAAUAUUGGACAAGGUUUGCAGAACUUGACAUUUUUGCAUAUCCUUGAUAUAUCGAAUAACAAUCUCACGGGUGUUAUUCCAAGCUGGGUUGGCGAACUUCCAAGGUUAUAUGCAAUACUGCUUUCAAACAACUCGUUGGAAGGUGAAAUACCUACGUCGUUGUUCAACAAAACUUUUCUUCUGCUAUUGGACCUCUCUGCAAACAGUUUAUCUGGGGGAUUACCUCCACACGUCGAUUCUACAAGGCCGGUAAUAUUGCUCCUGCAAGACAAUCAUCUAUCAGGAGAUAUUCCAGACACAUUUCUAGGACAUGUCAGCAUACUUGAUCUGAGAAACAACAGAUUGUCUGGGAAUAUACCGGAGUUCAUCAACACCCAAAGCAUCAGUGUUCUUCUUCUCCGAGGGAAUAAUUUAACAGGACGCAUUCCUCGCCAGUUGUGUGGCCUAAGAAACAUCCAACUUCUGGAUCUUGCCAACAACAGAUUGAAUGGAUCCAUACCUUCAUGUCUCAGCAAUACAUCAUUUGCUUUGGGGAAAGAGGAUGAUGGAUUCGAUGGUUAUGGUUUCAUUUAUGGUACAAUUAGUGAUUAUUAUGAUGAUGUCGAUAUAUAUUUCAAACCUCUUCUUGAGCUAGCUCCGCUUUCUUCGCAAAUCGUGGUAGCCACCCAGACGAAAGUUGAAUUUGCAACAAAACAUCGAUACGAUGCCUACAUGACGCGUGGAAUUCUCAAAUAUCUGUUUGGGCUAGAUCUCUCUGAAAAUGAGCUAAGCGGUGAGAUUCCAAUAGAGCUUGGAGGUCUUCUGGAGAUACAAGCUCUCAAUCUUUCUCACAACAACUUAUCAGGAGUGAUACCAGAAAGCUUUUCAGGUCUGAACAAUGUGGAAAGUCUUGAUCUUUCCUUCAACAGAUUACAAGGCCGGAUCCCAUCAAGACUAGCAGAUCUGAGCAGCCUAGCUGUGUUCAAUGUCUCUUACAACAACUUAUCAGGAGCCAUUCCACAGGGGAGACAGUUCAACACUUUUGAUUCGCCAAGCUACUUAGGUAAUCCUCUUCUCUGUGGGAAACCAACCAGCAGAAGCUGCGACGGUAACACCAUUCAAGCACCAGAUAAUGUAGCGAGAGAUGAAGAAAGCACAAUCGACAUGGUUUCUUUCUACUGGAGUUUUGCAGCAGCCUACGUUACAAUACUUCUUGGAGUACUUGCAUCUCUCUCUUUUGAUUCUCCUUGGAGUAGGUUUUGGUUCUACAAGGUUGAUGUUUUCAUCCACAAGGCGAGGAAUUUGUUGUGGUAAACCAUUAUUGGUGACAAAUUCUUAUAUUGUCCCCAUCUGUUUCUAUUCUUCACAAGACCUCCUGCUUUGUGUAGCCAACCAGAACAUUACUUGUGUUUGGUUCCUAUGUACUGUCUUUGUCAUUGUCUAUGAAUAAAUGGAUUGUCUCAAACAUUUCUUUGUUCCUGAGUAGCUUAGUGGUUGGUUUACUAAAAAAUCCCCAGAAAUCAGGAACUUGCAGAGAACAAUUUUAAGGUAGAAAAAGAGUGCAGACCCAAGAAUGAAAUAAAUACAGAGAAUUUUCCAUUAUACCGCUUUACUCAUUUUAUUUCAGGUAACCGUCUCAAGAAUUUUCCAUUAUACCGCUUUACUAAUUCAUUAUCCUGUUGUAGAAUACAAAUGAGUAAAAUGAGCAUAUGAAUCAGCAGAGAAAUAGAAAGACCAGAGAGAAACAUAGAACGUAGCUAAAGAAUUAGAGAAAGAAAAGCAACCACUCGUAUAUAAUUUAGUCACUGUUCAACAGACGUAGCUAGUUGUCAGCUAAUAGAGUUCUUCGCCUUCCUGAUUGCCAGCAGACGACCAGUUAUUCACCGGCUCGUUGUAGAGAAGCUUCUGCAUAUCCAAUACCAAUCCUGAGAUUUCUUCACUGAAUCUAGGAGAAAACCUUAUUGAACGGUUCAGAUACUUUUCUCCCUCAAGGAUCUCGAGAAUGGACCUUUGUAAUGAUCAGAAAGCUUGCCUGAUCUAAGAUCAACAUUAGAAUUCUGCAUCACACGCUCUCACUAUCUACUGAAAGACUAUGAACCUCUUUCCGCUUUUGCCUAGAUUUCAGCGAGAAACAGAGUAUCGAGGUGCAUCUUUGGUUAGAACUCUAAAGGACUCAUUAAAAUCAACAGGAGCAGGUUGAUACUAACCAUAAGGCCUCAGAGAUCCUCUCUUCUGCUGCGUCUAACUACUUUCUCUCUUGGCAUAGGAGUCUUAAUUGAAAGCCCUCUAGCUCAUCAUAGCAUCGCUUGCAGCUGUAGGAGAAUUUUUUUUAAAAAUGCUAUCAGUCAUAGAUGAGGUCAACGCCCAUUCUCUUCGCUAAUUGCAAUUUCCAUUAACUGCAACAAACACAUACAAAGAACACCCAGUAACGAAUCGAGAGAAACACUGAAGAAGAAACUGCAAGUAAAACUUAAAUUAAUCACAUUUGGAUGAAAAUCCACGACACAGCUCAGACUAAGUAAGUAAUGAUAGCCAUAUCGAGAAUAUUUGGAUUUGGGUCUUGAAUCUGUUUUUUCCUUGUAUCUUCUCCUCGUCGAUGGGCUCUUGUCCCUUGCUAGUGGAAUAUCUACCCAACUUUUAUUUCGAGUCAAGAAAAUAUUUAUUUACCAAGCAACCCCUCAGCGAAAACUUGCAAAUAAAACCUUUCUCAACACACUAACACAUGAAAGAAAAGAAAAAAACAAAAACUCCAAAAAAAGGCGAUAUGAAACAGUAAAACCUGAGUAAUCGAUAGAUCCGAUCCAGAAGCUAACCUAGAGCUCGGGGAACAGUAAACCUAAGCCUAGAAGAAGACCACGGAGGAAGAAGGGUCUUCUCGGAGGUCAAAGAUCAAUGGUGGAUUGAAGAUUUAGAUGAUGACAGAGUUUAGAGGAAGAAGAUGAUUUUGAUAUUCUGAUUGAUUCUCAUAUUUGGCCAAAGAGCCUUACAUAUAGUGAUUAAAGUUUUAUGAACCGGAAUUACAAACCGUAAUUAAUAUAACUACUAAACCAAGAUAAACCAGAGGAUAUGGAAUAAUCCUGUAACAAUACUCCCUCGUCGACAACAUCCUUGUCCUCAAGGAUGACAAGUUGGAAGCUCCUUGAUGAUUUUGAUGGAACGUCAAUGCAACUUGGUCUGGAGGAUGCACUUUCCAAUGGACAAAGACCGUGAUGAAUGCUUUGUUGUGGUGGUUAACCUUCUUCUUGGCACUGUUUUCAACAAACGGGGAUUGUAGCAGAAGUAUAGCAGUAGUGGUGGAGGUCGGAUAGAAGAAAUAGCAUUUCUCAGUUGUUACCUCUAGCUUCGGGACUAAUCCACUAAGCCACUCAAAACCAUGCUUGAUCCUCAUAAUGUAAAGCAUAGCAACACAGAGCAUAUAACUGAAAAUGUGUGCAUUAUCCAACGUCAUUUUACCAGAGAUCAAUAAGUCCUCAAAAUUGUCGGCUUCUGUCUUGAAAUGAAGGUAUAAUUGCAGAACCGUAACAGAGAUUAUAGAGGCAGGAAAGCCAUCGAUAGAAUGAGCAAUGUAGAGUGUUCCAGAAUGUGUAUGACCAGAUUCACAAUCACAAUUUAUGGCUCGGUUCCAUAUAUCAAUCAACCAAGUGAAGUAGUCCAGACCUGAAGAACUUGGGGGUUCAGUACUAAACUGCUUCAAAUCGUUGUAGUGUGUCCAAAAUUCAGGAUGCAGCAGCUUGUGGUUCUUGAGGAAUAAGAGCUUGGGGUCCUUCUCGAGCUUACCCAACCUCUGAAAGCUCUUCUUUAUUGUCUUGAAAUCUGGAGGUCGUGGCAGUGAACCAUAGAGUAACUUAAGUGAUGUGCUGUAGAAACCAACAGCUUUAAGCCUCAUGAAAUCGCCAUCUCCAUAGUCACUGACCAGAUAAGAGAGCUGGUGUGUGUUUUCAUCUAGACUCACGAACUCUUCUUCACCUCUACGGUCAACUUGAUUAAUCUCAAGUUCACAAAUAUAUCCAUCAGCUGUACCAACCUCACGUUCUUUUGUUACCAAAACUAAUAUGACCUUACCAUCCUUUAAGAAAUCGUUCUUUCUCUUCUUAGCAUCAGCUUCAACGCUCUUCAAAACAGUGGCGUGUAAGCCAUCAAAUAGAUGAAAUGUAGGAAUUAACCAGCAACAUUCCAGCAACACCACCAUUUUAAACUUAGAUCUCCAUUUGUGCUUCAAAUGGAACUUCAUACGAGCAAAAGUAAGCUGUCUCAAGCCUACAACUAGCAGUGUUCUGUUUCUUAGCAAAUCAGGCACGUUAAAAACUUCAUCAUGACCAGCGUGACCCUUAGCUUCAGAUAUAAGCCCAACAAGUAUUCUCAAUACACCAUUCCUUCUGCGAGACUGAAACUCGAACGGUUCCAGUAACACACGUUCUGAUCCCUUUUUAUUUCCGGCUUCAAUGUUCAUCAGCGCAUGCUUUCCUUUAUCAUAAACCAACCGUGACUGCAUCUUUUCACUUGCAACUAAAGGCUCCUCACCAGGUGUUUUUCCUCCAACGAUAUCAACAUACAUCGAUUCCAGCGGUAAAUAAGCUUUGUAGUACGAGUAUAUUGAGCCAAACUUCUCCAAUAAGACUUUGUUAUUCUCGCCUAUUCCAUCUAGAAGCAACUGGUUAUCUUCGUCCAAAGGCAGAGAUAUGACCUUUGAGGAAGUUACAAGAAUUACAACUCCAUGUUUCAACAAAAGAGUGGUUCCAUCUGUCGAUUUAUGUGCCUCUGAGUUGCCUUUGAACUUGUAUUUCCAAGUCUUUGACCACUUCUGCUUCCUCUUUCUAGUUCUCAGCAAAACUUUAAGCAUCUGAUCUGCGCAAUCCAACUUUGUAACAACAGAAAACUUCUGAGGCAUCUCAACCUCUCUUGGAACAUAACCAAUUUGUUCCACCACAGCACUCACGUAAUCGACAACCUCUUGGGUUUCUAUGUCCAUAAUCGAUGAUUCUGGAGUUAACUCAGUCACUUUACCAUAGCCCCACAAUAUACUAGACAGCCUGUGCAUUAACCUCAUCGAUUUACCAUCUUUGUAACAUUUUUCUAACCCUUUCCACUUAUCAUGUUCAGUCGCUAUUCCACCAGGUUCCCACAUUCUAUUAUUCCAAGAUGAAACGAGUUUCAUCACCUUGUUUUGCUCAUGUUCAUCCUCUUUUUCGUCUUCUUCAUAAAGAGGCUUGAGCUCCUCUAGAUCCCAAUUCACCACUUGCAUCUGAGGAUAUAGAGACGUUUCAAACUGAUGUGAUUCUUGGUGUGACUUCGAUUCUUUCUCUGGCCAGUCCCAAAAAUCCAGAGUAGCCGGUAAACCACCUGGCUCCCAUACAUGACCAGUCUUAUGUGAGAACAAGAGCUUAUCAUUUGAUGAACUGAUCAGCAUUGUUGAAUCCUCCUGAUACUUCUCUGAUAAGGAGAGAUCAACGUGAGAUCUAAAUUUGGCAGAAAUCGCUUGAGAGUGCUUGCCCUCCAAGUGUUCGGCGUUUUGCCCGAGAGGUGGAUUCCUCUUUUCUUCAGCUACAGUUUUUGGAUGAUCGUCUUCCCGAUUCAACUCAACAGAAUCCUGCAAAACUGGGACAAACCCCAACGAUUUCAUAGAUGAAUCUGUCUCAACAUGUGGUUCGACGAACUCAUUAUCAGCAGAAAGUUGAUCAUCUUCACAGUCUACCAUGAAAAUCUUUGAUUUUCUGUGCUUUGACUGAAAGUGACCACGGGUAUCAAGCUCAUCACAAAACAAACACAACCCAUUUUCCAUUCUCGCAUACACCUGCUCACAUGAAUACGUCCGAUGAGUCUUGUUCGUGGUGAUCGUGCCCGCCAUUGUUUGUUUUUUUUUUUUUUUUUUUUAUUAGUUGCGUCCGAAGCUCGUUGGCUCUGAUACCAAUGAAACAGUAAAACCUGAGUAACCGAUAGAUCCGAUCCAGAAGCUCACCUAGAGCUCGGGGAACGGUAAACCUAAGCCUAGAAGAAGACCACGGAGGAAGAAGGGUCUUCUCGGAGGUCAAAGAUCAAUGGUGGAUUGAAGAUUUAGAUGAUGACAGAGUUUAGAGGAAGAAGAUGAUUUUGAUAUUCUGAUUGAUUCUCAUAUUUGGCCAAAGAGCCUUACAUAUAGUGAUUAAAGUUUUAUGAACCGGAAUUACAAACUGUAAUUAAUAUAACUACUAAACCAAGAUAAACCAGAGGAUAUGGAAUAAUCCUGUAACACGAUACGAAUUAAUAUCUGUUCCACAAGGCAUAUUCUCUUACAGUAAAAGUCGAGACGGCUCUUACUCUUGGCUAUCCACCGCCGUAUAUCGGGCGGCGACGAUGGCAGCGUCUGCAUUGGUAUAGCGUUUGGCGUCUGGCGAUUGGCGAUUGGCGAUUGGCGAUUGGCGUAUGGCGAUAGGCGAAGGAAAAUUAAGGGGUUUUCGCUGACUCGCUAAAUGAUGUGAAACGACGGCGUUUCUAUUUUGGGGGUAACGGCCCCCUUCUUUCUGACGUGGCCGGCUUAGAGAGGCACAUCAGCAACUCAGUUACCGUUGGAGUGUUUUAGGUCCUUUCUUUGGCAGAGUUUAAAGGUUAGGCCUUUUUAUUUUAAUAUUAAAAUCGCAUCAUUCUUUUACGGAAGAUCAAUUAUUUAGCUGAAUAAUUCAACGGACUUACAUUGCUAAACAGAUCAACAUGUACAAGGAAUAUAUAUAUAACUAGGACUAAGUAAAAGAUUUGCGACCAAAGUGGAAAUUGUCUUUACUACUGAUACAAGAAUUAGUAUUUUUUACUCUUUUUUAUUCUUUAGUUUAUUUCUUGUAAUAUAUAGUUUUACGUGUGAGGACUGAGACCCUGUAUAGUAUUUAUCUAUCUAUUAAAACGGUUGAAAUAUAUCAUGUCAUCUUUUGUUUUUUUACUCAUGUUCCCCUUCACAUUGCACUUAAAUAAUAGAAACCAGCUAUCGCAGACUCUAAAUUACAUUCUUGAGUAUUAGGCACUUUGUCGUGGCUAAGGCAUACAAUAUUUCUUCGUUAGUUGUGCGUAAAGCUUCGUUGAAGUUGAUAAUGCUCAGCACGCCACAAGUAUGUCAUGUGAUAUGAGUAUUUUUCCACAGAUUGACUUUGUAAAUAUAUUUUCUUAUUCAACUUAGUUUUUCAAUUCCUUUUUGUCAAACAGCAUUUUUAGUGCUUCUAAACAUGGAUAUAUUUGGGUAACAAUCUAAUUUUUAAGUUUCUAGUUGUUUUAUUUUUGGCUCAAACCAAUGGAAGAGAAGGUGUUCUUGGGUAAAAACCUGAUUUGGGUGAUAUUAUUGUUGGGACAGCUACAUGGAUGUAAAAGCUGUAUUCAGAUAGAAAGGAAAGCUUUGUUCGAGCUCAAGAAAUACAUAAUUUCUUGGAGUAUAGAAGAGGAAUCCAACUCUGUUCUUCCUACUUGGACUAACGACACAAAGAGUCAUUGCUACCGUUGGAAGGGUGUUGAGUGCAAACGUACAAGCGGACGGGUUAUCGGGAUUUCCAUUGGUGAGAUGAUCUUUGAAGAGAGUUGUCUCCUAAAUCUUUCUUUGCUGCAUCCCUUUGAAGAGAUUCGAAGUUUGAACUUAUCCGGGGAAACGUUCAACUCUUUCAAUGGCUUCUUUGAUGAUGUUGAAGGUAUACCAGGCUCUUUCACAGUGCUCAGUUUACCCUUUUUGGUCUCUAUUUGAAAGCAUAUAUAUCUUAUUUCUUUGUUCUAGUUCUUGAAAGUUAGUACUGUUUAAAACUAUGGUACUUAUAUUUUCGGCUGCAUCAAAAGGCUACCUUGCAUUUAGAGUAGACGAAAAAAUACUAUUGAAGUGAUUAGAAUCAGCAAUCUUUUUUUUGUACACUUUGUUAACAAGAUUCUCGUUUGUAGGCUAUAAAAGCUUUAGGAAAUUAGGAAACCUGGAGAUUCUGGAUCUCUCUCAAAAUGCAUUCAACAUCAGCAUAUUUUCUUUCCUUAAUGCUGCUACAUCACUUACAACUCUUUUUCUUCGGCAAAACCAUUUGGAUGGCCCUUUCCCUGCUAAAGGUCUGUUUUCCACUUUGUAACAAGGUGUUUGCCUAGCAAACCCUAAUUAUUGAUGAUGUAUCUUUGGUUAGGACGUUUGAUUUUUGUAUUGCAGUCUGUAUAAUUUUAUAUGUCCUAGCAAUUCUUAUCAUUCUCAUGUAUUCUCAUGGACUCCCUUUCAGAACUAAAAAACUUGACAAACUUGGAACUGCUGGAUCUGAGUGGAAACCGGUAUAACGGCUCCAUGCCAGGUAGCAUCUAUGUCAAUUGUCACUGUUUUUUUCUUCAGAGUAGAACUUUAACAAAUUUAACUAGAAACUUCAUUGACUCUUUACCUCUUGAGUAUUGCCUAUCCAGCACAACCUACUUCUUGAUGAUGUAUAUAUUGUUUGACUUUUGUAUUGCAGUCUCUGUGAUUUUCCAUGUAUUAAUUGCAGUUCUUAUGCAGAAAAUUAAUUAUCAUCAUUUCCAUAUAUAUAUUGUUUGACUUUUGUAUUGCAGUCUCUGUGAUUUUUUUUUUCCCCAGAAUUUCAUUCAUUCUUAUGCAGAAAAUUAAUUAUCAACUGAAUUACUCAACGAGCUUUACGUUGCUAAAAAGAUUAACAUACAAGGAAUAUUUACGUAACUAAGGCUAAGUAAUAGUUUAAUCCGUCUUCUUAUCUUUAGUUUAAUUCUAUUCUCCUAAAUAUAGUUUUGUUUGUCAAGAAUCCCAAAGGUUGGAGGAUUGACCCUGCCUAACAUUCAUCUCUCUCGCUUGAGCUUAAAAACUUGACAAGCUUGGAACUGUUGGACCUGAUUAAAAACGAAUUUAAUGGCUCCAUACCAGUACAGAGUAGUGUCAACGUUAUUGUGACUGUCUAUAGAUUCUUACUAUAGAUGCAGUCUUUAUGGUAUCUUUCCCCAAGAGUUUUGCUAUAGCUUAUGUGACACCAUAGUGCUGAGAAUACUCAUUCUCCUUGGAGCAGAGCUUUUAUCCAGAAGACGAAAACUUUCUUAUCCCAAAUUACAGUGGUGAAGAGUGUAAACUGGUCUCUUGAGAGUAUAUAAUCAUUUGUUGUAACAAUUCCGUUCUGAUAUACUUGUAAUUUGUUCUUCAGCUUGGCGAUCUAUGUGGCUAAAUAUGAAACCCAGAAGAUACGCUAGCUUGUCCUCUGUUAGAAGCUUAUAAGCUUGCAAAAUGAUUUAUAAAUUAUAUACAGUAUAUAGUUUGGCUACCUACUUUAUAAACCCUUGAAUUAUUACGUGGUAUAUAAGCUUGAGGGAAAAAAAUUGCUUUUAAACUUGGCUUUAAACAAGCUACCAAUUUGUGAAAAAAACACGUUUACUAUGUAACAAAACCUUACCAACCGUAUCUCGUAGAACCCAUGCAACUCCUCCCUACUUCUUCUGUUUGGAGAAGGAGAAUCCGAUGUUGCAUUUUAACCAGUUCAUUGGAGAAAAUGUACCUUUUUCUUAUGGCUUUGCUUCUCGUUUAAUUUAGGCGUUUUGGGUUAUUGUAAGAUUCUAUAACAUUCGAUAAAAAUCUAGAUGACCAAAAAAAAAAAAAAAACUUGAGGGAAAAAAUAUAUAUUCCAAUAUUUCCAUAUUAUCAUCCUUUCACUCUAUUGCUAAGCAAUUUCCUGUGACUUAAAAGCAUUUUGGUCGAAGUAAAAGAUGCUGACCGCACAAUUUCUACGGAGACCUUGACUUAAAAAUGCCACACGAAUCUCUAAGCUUAUCAUACGAUUCAAAGUAAACGAUAGACGACAGUGAUCACUCAUGCUCCGACUGGGACCUGAAUUGACUUUGUAAGUGUGCAAUUAUUUCCUUGAAUUUGGUGUAUUCCUCUGGAAAUUUAAAGAAUCCUUGUAAAUUUGGACAAGUCAUUUUGGAUUAUCUUUCAUUUGCUUUUAUUUUUCGUUUUAUUUGCAAUGGAAGGGAAGGUGUUCUGGGGAAAAUACUUGAUAUGUGUGAUGUUACUGUUGGGGCAGCUACAUGGAUACCAAAGCUGUGUUGAGAAAGAAAGGAAUGCUUUGCUGCAGCUCAAGAAAUACUUAGUCUCAAUUACUCGAGAAGUUUUUGUAGACGAUGUUCUCCCUACUUGGACUAAUGACACAAAGAGCAAUUGCUGCGGGUGGGAUGGCCUUAGGUGCAAUCUUACAAGCGGACGGGUGACCGAGAUUGCCUUUGACUUGAACUCCAAAGACAAUUCUCUCUUUAAUCUUUCGUUGCUACAUCCUUUUGAAGAUGUUCGAAGUCUGAACUUCUCCGGGUCCUUUCUCAGGGGCUUGUUUGAUGACGUUGAAGGUAUACCAGGCUUUCCCUAGUAGUUAGCUUUUAAUAUUCUGUUUUUCAUUGGAACUUUCAUGUUUUCUCUCCUUUAGGGAUCUACUUCUCUGAAGAACCUAUAUGGACUAGAUCUUUGCUCAUUGUUUCUAAUUCUUGAAAGUUAAUUAUAUAUUGUUUCUCGUUGCAGGUUAUAAAAGCUUGAGGAGAUUAAGAAACCUGGAGAUUCUGGAUCUCUCCUGGAAUAAUUUCAACAACAGCAUCUUUCCCUUACUUAACGCUGCUACAUCACUCACAACUCUGUUUCUUAGGGGCAACAACAUGGUUGACCCUUUUCCUGUUAAAGGUAUGUUUUACCAUUUGUAUAUAUAUAGCAUGUCCUAAUUCUUUUAGGGACGAUGUAUCAUUCUUAUAUUUGUUGGACUCCAUUUCAGAACUCAAAGAUUUGACAAACUUGGAACUGCUGGACCUGAGUGAAAACAGUUAUAACGGCUCCAUACCAGUACGAGGUAGUUCAUAAAUGCUUGCCUUUCUUUUCAAGGGCUAUGCUUUCUUACAACAUUUGUUGGAUUGGUUUGCCUCGUCCUUGAGAUGAACAUAUCCAUAAUUUGUUAUCUUUGUCUGUGGCAGAGAUAACUUCGCUCAGGAAGCUGAAAGCUCUGGAUCUAAGUGAUAAUGAAUUUUCGGGUUCAAUGGAUUUGCAAGGCAAGUUUGCUCAUAUACAAUUUCACUUUUUCAUAUUAAAACAAGAAACAAAAACAAAAAACAAAGGUGAAUUCACGAUAAUCAAAGUGACUAAACUUUUUGCAUCUGAUUACCGUAGGGAUAUGCAAAUUGAAGAAUAUGCAAGAGCUCGAUCUCAGUCACAACAAACUUGUAGGUCAGUUUCCCUUAUGUUUAACUAGCUUGACUGGACUUCGAGUUCUUGAUCUCUCAUCAAACCAGUUGACUGGGGAGAUCCCAUCUGCUCUCGGUAACCUUGAAUCCCUUGAGUACUUGUCGUUGUUAGAUAACGACUUCGAUGGCUUCUUCUUACUUGAUUGGCUCGCCAAACUCUCAGAGCUUAAAGUGUUGAAACUUGGCUCAAAAUCCAACUCUUUUCAAGUAGAUUCUAAGAGUUCUUGGAAACCAAAAUUUCGGUUGAAUGCUAUUGUCCUACGAUCUUGCAACUUGGAAAUAGUUCCUCGUUUUCUCCUACAGCAGAAAGGUUUGAAUUAUGUUGAUCUCUCCGACAAUAAAAUUUCUGAAAACUUUCCUUUUUGGCUAUUGGCGAACAAUACAGAGCUCGAAGUUUUGCUUCUGAAGAAUAAUAUUCUUACGAGCUUUCAGCUACCGGAAUCUGCUCAUGAUCUACGUUCCCUUGACGUGUCAGUCAAUGAAUUCAAUCAUAUGUUUCCUGAGAACAUUGGGUUGAUACUUCCACAUUUACGGUAUAUGAAUAUAUCGAAGAACGGCUUUCAAGGAAAUCUGCCAUCUUCUCUGGGUAACAUGAGUAGGAUUGACACUCUGGAUGUAUCUCACAACAGUUUCCAGGGAAAGCUACCAAGAAGCUUAGUAAAGGGUUGUUAUAACUUGGCUUACUUGAAGUUGUCACAUAACAAACUAAGUGGAGAGGUUUUUCCAGAAUCAGCAGAGUUAUAUGAUUUACGUUGGCUGUAUAUGGAUAACAAUCAGUUUACAGGAAAUAUUGGACAAGGUUUGCAGAACUUGACAUUUUUGCAUAUCCUUGAUAUAUCGAAUAACAAUCUCACGGGUGUUAUUCCAAGCUGGGUUGGCGAACUUCCAAGGUUAUAUGCAAUACUGCUUUCAAACAACUCGUUGGAAGGUGAAAUACCUACGUCGUUGUUCAACAAAACUUUUCUUCUGCUAUUGGACCUCUCUGCAAACAGUUUAUCUGGGGGAUUACCUCCACACGUCGAUUCUACAUUGCCGGUAAUAUUGCUCCUGCAAGACAAUCAUCUAUCAGGAGAUAUUCCAGACACAUUGCUGGCAAAUGUCAGCAUACUUGAUCUGAGAAACAACAGAUUGUCUGGGAAUAUACCGGAGUUCAUCAACACCCAAAGCAUCAGUGUUCUUCUUCUCCGAGGGAAUAAUUUAACAGGUCAUGUUCCUCGUCAGUUGUGUGGCCUAAGAAACAUCCAACUUCUGGAUCUUGCCAACAACAGAUUGAAUGGAUCCAUACCUUCAUGUCUCAGCAAUACAUCAUUUGGUUUGGGGAAAGAGGAUAAUGCAUUUCACGUUUCUAAUCUCGAUCUAGGUAUAGAGCGUGUUUAUGAUGAUCCCGAUAGAUAUUUCAAACCUCUUCUUAUUGAGCUAGAUCCGCUUUAUUGGCAAAUCGCGGUAGCCACCCAGACGAAAGUUGAAUUUGCAACAAAACACCGAUAUGAUGCCUACAUGGUGGGUGGAAUUCUCAAAUAUCUGUUUGGGCUAGAUCUCUCUGAAAAUGAGCUAAGCGGUGAGAUUCCAAUAGAGCUUGGAGGUCUUCUGGAGAUACAAGCUUUCAAUCUUUCUCACAACAACUUAUCAGGCGUGAUACCAGAUAGCUUUUCAGGUCUGAAGAAUGUGGAAAGCCUUGAUCUUUCCUUCAACAGAUUACAAGGCCGGAUCCCAUCAAGACUAGCAGAUCUGAGCAGCCUAGCUGUGUUCAAUGUCUCAUACAACAACUUAUCAGGAGUCACUCCCCAGGGAAGACAGUUUAACACCUUCGAUAUGCAAAGCUACUUAGGUAACCCUCUUCUCUGUGGAAAAUCAACCAACACAACCUGCGACAGUAAUAUCAUUCACGCACCAGAUAAUGUAGUGAAGGACGAAGAAAGCACAAUCGACAUGGUUUCUUUCUACUGGAGUUUUGCAGCAGCCUACGUUACAAUACUUCUUGGAAUAUUUGCAUCUCUCUCUUUUGAUUCUCCUUGGAGUAGGUUUUGGUUCUACAAGGUUGAUGUUUUCAUCCACAAGGCGAGGAAUUUGUUGUGGUAAACUACUACUGUUAGUGUGAAUUUCAUUAAUGUGCCCCAUCUGUUGCUAUUCUUCUCAAAACCUCUUGCUUUGUUUUACAAAACCAGAACAUAACAUGUUUGGUUCCUCUGUACUGUCUUUGAAUAAAUGUAAUGCCUCAAACAUUCCUAGAGCUUGUUUUGAGGUUGAUUCAAUAAAUAAUAUAUUAUAAUUAUGAAGAACAAGAACUUCCAUGAAAAAAAAAAAAAAAAACUCAUAAGUAGGAAAAAAAAUACAGAGACUUUUCCGUUAGUUCUCUUGCUUCUAUACCGCUUUAUAGUUUUAUUUCAGGUAACCAUCUCAAGAACUUCAGUCACAAUAUAUGAUUAUGAAUCAGAAGAGCAAAAGAAAGACCAGAGAGAAACACUUAACACAGUUAAAGAGUUAGAGUACGAAGAGUAAUUACUAGUGUAUAUAUCUAGUCUUUCUUCAACAGCCUUAGCUACUGGUCCGUGAAAAGCGUUCUUCGCCUUCCUGACUUUGCUUGCAGACGGCCAGUCUCCGCAUGUACGAUCUCAUUCACCAGAUCCUUGAAGAUAAGCCUCUCCACAUCCAGCACCAAUCCUGAGAUUUCUCCAUUGAAGUCCACCCAAUUCCCAGACCGAACCAUUACAUCUUCUGCAAGUAUACUUUUCAAGAAGUCGUCUUCUUCCUCCAACAAGAAGUUUUCUGAUCUCUUUGUGGCUUGCUUUUGCAGUGUUUCUAUCUCUGAACACAGUUCUUUCAGUAGCUGUUGCGCACUCAUGGCUUUCUUAGUCAUCUUAGUUGAUGACUUCAUCAAUGGAUUCAUCGUGGCUUCAACCGAAGCUAGUUUCUCCACAAGAAUUUCAUUAACGGUGGUGUCAAACACAAGUUUGCGGUUGAGCUUCUCCUUGUUCAAAACCUUGCUUUCUUCUUUGUGUAACAGAUGCGUAGUGCUGCUUCCCUUUGUCUUGAAUGGUUUUUACCUGCAACAAGACUUGUCAUACAAAAAACGUCAGUGCAUAUUUCAAAUCUCUGCUCAUGCUUGAUCCUUUUAGUAUGAACUACAAGGCAAGUACUCAGAAAAAAAUUUAGUUUGCAACGAAACACAGAUACGAUGCCUACAUGGGUGGAAACCUCAAAUUAUUGUAUGGAUUGGAUCUCUCGAAAAAUGAGCUGAGCGGUGAGAUUCCAGUUAAGUUUGGACAUCUUCUGGAACUAAGAGCUUUCAACCUCUCUCACAACAAGUUAUCAGGAGUGAUACCAGAAACCUUUUAAGGUAUGAAGAAUGUGGAAAGGCUUGAUCUUUCUUUCAACAGAUUACAUGGCCGGAUUCCAACACAAUUAACAGAGCGAGCAGCCUCUCGGUCAUCAAGGUCUCGUACAACAACUUAUCAGGAGUCAUUCCACAGGGAAAACAGUUUAACACCUUCGAUACACAAAGCUUCGAAGGUAAUCAACUUCUCUGUGGACAACCAACAAGCAGAAGCUGCAACAUUUAUGCUACCUUUCAAGAGCCAGAUGAUGAAGUGGAAGCUGAUGAAUCCGCAAUGGACAUGGAAUCUCUCUACUGGAGUUUCGCUGCAGCGUAUGUGACAAUACUUGUUGGAAUACUCGCAUUGCUCUCAUUAGAUUCUCCUUGGAGAAGAUUGUGGUUCUACAUCGUUGAUGCUUUUAUCUACAAGUUGAGGGAUAUGUGUUCGGUGUGGUAAAACUACUGUUAGUGUCAAGUCCAUUAAUGUGCUACUUUCGUUCAUGUCCUCAUUUGUUGAUGUUUGUCAUCAUAUCCUCCUCCUCUGUUACUCAUAACCAGAACAAGACAUUUGUUAUGUUCCUAUGUGUUGUCUGUCUUUAAUUAAAUGUAAUGUCUCAAAGGCUCAAGCAUAUCUUAGAGCUUUGUAUGCCUUAAUUUUCAGCUUUGUAUGAUUCUUAUAUUCGUUGGACUUCCUUUCAGAACUUGGAGAUUUAAAAAAAUUGGAACUGCUUGACCUGAGUAGUAACAGAUUUAACGGCUGCUAUGGAGGAUUAGUGUCUCGUCAAAAUGGCGUCACUGAAACGGCGGCGUUCUCUCAUUCUGGCUUUUACAUCCUUUUUUUUUUUUUUUUUUUUUUUUUUUUCAUUCUUUAUUCCGCAAACCUUUAAAAGGCGACUUUUCAAAAAAUUACAAGGAGAAUUCCCACGCGGAAUAAAGAACCUUACAUACCCAAGGAAUAAAAAACAAGACUUGAAACUCGCAUGAAACAAGAACAUAGCAUGAUGACCAGGCGAAAGAAACAUAGAUAAGAUUGAGAUGGGAGUUAAGACUGAAAAAAUCUGAACCACGUUUGAAGAAACGAUUCCGAAGAUGACGAAGUACCCUGAGGGAGAAUCCGGGGAUAGGAGAUAGCUUGUCUAUCAAGACCAGCUAGCUUGGCUCUAAGCAACAACUGGAGGUCUUUAACGAGGGUACCAGUGGCUUUGGAGACAGCAUUAUGAAGUCUACUGUUGCGUUCCUUCCAAAUAAGAUAAACCGCUGCUUGAAAAACCAGAGAGGAAAUGUUCUUCAACUUCCGAAGCUGAAAAGGAGAUCUAACCCAAGCGACAAUACUAUCAAGAGAGUAAUGAGGGGUGAAACCAUAAUGGGAAAAAAUGGAGUUCCAAAACUCUUUGGAAAAAGGGCAAUUGAAGAAAAGGUGCUCUCUAGAUUCAGCAGCAGAACCACACAACAAACAUUCCGGAGGAACCAACAGUCCCCAACUCCGCAAUCGAUCUCGCGUUGGAAGCCUAUUGCGAAGAAUAACCCAAAGUAAGAAAGAAUGCUUAGGUAUUCUUACCUUAGGCCAAACCGACUUAAACCAAGAAACCGUCGGUGGGGAAGGGUGCAGAAACUUCCACGUUUUCGAAGUAGAAAAUAUCCCUGGAGGGCUGUCAAGAGAAUUGCGCCACAAGAAGAAGUCAGGUUCCAGGGACAGCUCACUGGGAAGAUCGGGAGGAAGGCAGGCUCUAAGCAGAGAAAGAAUAGGAUGACGCCUGCCUGAGAUGUUCCAGACACCAAAACGACAAGCUUCAACAACCGUAGACAUUAAAGGAAGACCCGUAACACGAGGUCCAUUAUCACCUGUAAGAGCAGUAAGAGGACCCAAGCUAGUCCAAUCAUCAUGCCAAAAUAAAGCCGUGGAACCGGAACGAACAUGACAUGCUAGAAAAGGUCGAGCUAUAAUGCGAAGCUUCAUGAGCCGUUUCCAAAUCCAACUGCCCGAUCUCUGAAAGUCAGUGGUCCAAAACAACCUCCCUCUAAUAAUAUUCUGCUUAGUCCACGCAACCCAUAACGAACCCGUAGAAGCAAACAAGAGCCAAAUGAGUUUCAAACCGAAAACCUGAUUAGAAUCCUGGAUAUUUCUCAAACCCAGACCGCCUGAUUCCUUAGGAGAACAGACCGAACUCCAAGCAACCUUGGCACUACGCGCAGAGUUAGGAGCUCCACUCCAAAGAAAGGCGCUGCAAAUCUUAUCAAGAGUAUCCAAGCAACUCUUGGGAAGAGGAAACACCGAAGCCCAGAAAUUGAUAAUGCUAUGUAGAACAGAUUUAACCAACUCCAAUCUUCCAGCAAAAGAUAAUUGCCUCACAGUCCAAGAGGAAAUGCGGGAGAGGAUUUUAUCAAUCAAAGGCUGAUAAUCCUGAGGCCUCAACUUGUGAGGCAUCAACGGUAAUCCGAGGUAUCUGACCGGCAAUGCACCUUGAACAAGUCCGAAACGAGAAGCAAGAGACAGAGAGAGUGCCUGAUUAUUUCCGUCAAGGAAUAGACAUGACUUGGUAAGAUUUAGGGCCAAUCCAGACGUUCUCUGAAAAGAAGAUAAAAUAUCCAGAAUUCCAACAGGAGAAGAUUCAGCCCCAUCAAAAAAUAUAAGCACAUCGUCAGCAAAGCUAAGAUGAGUAACAAGAGGGUCGCGGCACAUCGGAUGAGGAGCAAAGAGAUUUUCUCUAACAGCUUUAUCGAGAAGCUUGGAGAGAAUAUCCAUGACUAAGACGAAUAAAGAUGAGGAAAUAGGGUCACCUUGACGGAGCCCUUUCCUGCCGGGAAAGAAGCCAACAAGCUCACCGUUCACCGCGAUGGAAUAAUGAGGAGAUGAAACACAGGCUUUAAUCCAAGAGAUAAAUCGAGGAGGGAGCUGAAAGGCGAUGAGAAUAUUCGAAAUGAAGCUCCAAUCCACAUUAUCGUAAGCUUUGGAUAUGUCAAUCUGCAAACACCCUCUAGUUGUAUUUCCAUCCUUAUGGAAGUCAGAAACCAACUCAGAAGCCAAAAGAACAUUCUCACAGAGGAGCCGCCCUUUAACAAAACCAACUUGGUUCCUCUGAACUGCAAGGGGAGUAAAAAGCUUCAAGCGAUCAGCGAGAAUACGAGAUAUGACCUUGUAGACCGUGUUACAAAGCGAGAUAGGUCUGUACUCGGAUAACCGCUCAGCUCCAGUAAAUUUUGGAAUUAGAGAGAUAACUGUAGCGUUAACUUGACAGAUCAAAGAAGAAGUGAUGAAAAAGUCUUGAACUGCGCGGGUUAGAUCUCCCCCAACUAAGUCCCAAGAAGAAGUGAAAAAUUCCACCGAAAACCCAUCAGGCCCGGGAGCCUUGUUCCUUGGCAAGGAAAAAACCGCAUUCUUGAUAUCCUCCGACGAGGGCAUUCUGUCUAGCUGAGGAUACAAGUGGUCGUCACACCUGAAAGAAUGUAAGUCUUGAAUUUGAGGAACAGAGAGUGGUUGAACCUCUGGAUUAGGAGAUUCAAGCAAAGCUGAAUAAAAAUCCAGAACGUGAUUCUUAAGCAUUUGCGGAUCAGAAAUCUUGACACCAUCAGAAUUCCUUAGGUAAUGAAUGGAGUUUCGAAGGAGGUUAGCUUUAACAGACUUAUGAAACACACGAGUGUUAGCAUCUCCUUCAGAUAGCCACUUAAUUCGUGACUUUUGCCUGAAAAAAUUUUCCUCCGCCGCUGCUAGAAAGAGCCAAGAAUCCCUCAAUCGACGUUCCUCAACAAACAAGUCCUGAGUUGGAGACCGAAGAAGAUCACGCUGAACAGAUUCCAACAGCUCGAAAGCCUCUUUAGUCCUCAUCUGAAUAUUGCUAAAGCUCAAACGAUUCAACUCCUUACAGCACUGUUUAGCGGCUCUGAGCUUCUGAUAAAGACUAAACAUAUGACUCGCAGGAGUAGAGAACCCGUUCCAAGCCUCCUCCAACACUCUACCAUAAUCUGGGUGAGAGGUGAAGAAGGGGAAGAAAGUGAACCGUGAUUUUCUUCUGGAUCCUUCGUUUGAUAAUGAUACCAAACAAGGAGAAUGAUCGGAACUACCAGGAGCGUCAAACAACGCAAGAGAAUCAGGGUAAGAACCUUGCCAAGCUUCAUUAAUAACCACACGAUCAAGUUUUCGAGACUUAGGAUUAUGAGGACAUUUAUUACUCCAGGUAAAGAAGCAGCCCCGCAUAGCCAUAUCAAAGAGAGAACUAGAUGAUAAACACUCCUGGAACUCUGCAAUACCUUGAACCGGCAAGACACUAGGAGAUAGAGAAUAUGCUUCCGCCAUAGAUAAGACUUGGUUAAAGUCACCUAAUAAGAGCCACGGAGAAUGGUUUAGCAGAGGAGAAGACGCUAAUUCCUUGAUCAAAAUCCAUAGAGGGAUGCGAUCCUCUCUUCUGUUAGGAGCAUAGAUAAAAGCCACAGAGAAAGACUGGUUGGAGGCAGGAUUUAGAACACCACAGAGCAUAAGAUUAGGGGAUUUCAGAAAAGUAAUAACAGAGAGAAGGGGAUUCCAUAGAACAACAAUACGCCCGUUCUCUGCAUCCUCAGAAUGAUUAGAGUCAAAACGCCACCCUGGGAAGUGCCUGGUCAUCAAAUCAUCAAUGUUUGCUUGUUUCACGCGAGUUUCCAAAAAACCACCGAUCAUAGGUUGGUUAGCGAUGAGCCACCGCUUUACAGCUAAAAGUCUUGAAUUGCCAUUAAGGCCUCUUACGUUCCAACAAAAACACUUCAUAUAGAAGUCAAAAAAGGGGGAGUGCAUCACACUCAGAGGGCCAAAAUGUGAGCAGAUCGCUUGCGCGAGUGCCCACUUAAAGAAGGACCAGGAACAGACGAAGCUGAUCUGGAAGAAGCCAAAGAAACCGGACGAUCGAUAUUAGAACCAGGGGAAGAGGAGGAGAGCAGCAGAGACUUCUGACGAAGGUUUUUCCUUGCUUUCCUUCUAGCAGCAGCUGUAAUCAACGGAGGGGCAACCACUUCCAGAUUAGCAAUUCUCUUCCGGAUAAUAGCUUGGGCUGAUUGAAUGAGCUCCUCUUCCGCAGCGAACUGAGAGUUGGUAACCGAAGCAGCAGGAGGACGCUCUUCAGUAUUAGCCGAGGAGAGACGAGGAACUGAGGAGCGACGAACCACCUUAGUCCAUACCCCAGAGAUAUUAGCAUCAGAGCCGCUAUGAUUUUCAAAAGAAGCGGGGACAGCCCGAGGAGAAGAUGGUAAACUCUUGGAAAUUCGAAUCUUAUGAGGAGACGAAGGACGACUAGCAAAGGAACCCUGACAAACUUGCACAUCAGCGACUGAAGAGGAAGACCCUUCAGGGGAGGUAGCCGGAGAAAAAUCAUUUGAAGGAGAUUGAUUUGAGUUAUUCGGGCAAACGGCAGCUUUAACAACAGGAACUGGGCAUCGCAUCUGGAAGUGACCAAAUUCACCACAAGCAGCACAUUUGGGAGGGAGUUGAAGGAAUUCCACUGAGACAAGAACAGUAUUCUGCAUCUUAUCAGAAACACGCACAAACGGAGGAGGAGUUUUAGCAAGUUCAACCACGAUCUUAAGCUUAACAACUCCAUUUGAAUAUGGUCGAAUAUUCGGAAACUCUGAAUGAACUGGGAAGCCAACUCCAGAAGCGAUGGUGCUAAAACCUUGAGAAGACCAUAAUUCCUGAGGAACAUUGCGAAAGAGAACCCACACCGGAGCAAAAUCCAGCUUCGAAGAGCCCAAAGUAGCAGAGGAAGACCAUUCGGACAACGAAAAAGAACAGUUACGGGAGUGCCAAAAGCCGAUAUCGAGAGCCCAUUUCCGCGUGGCCUCACACGGAAUGAGAAUGAGAAAAAUACCAGGGGAGUGAUACUUAAUAGAGAUUCUGCCCUGUUUACCCCAGAUUGGGUUCAGAUCCGAGAAGAUCUUAGCAAUGGAGGGAGGAGAACCAUGAAAUUGAGCAACAAGAUGAUUUUUCCAAAGCUGAGAUGAUUUAAGAAUAACUGAAUCUGGAGCUUUCAUCUGGGGAAUUCCAUCUUCAGAAACAACUGGAGAGCCGACCUUAGAGAGAGUCAAAAAAGUCGAUUUGAAUUUGGAAGCCCAAGAAGGAAGAGAGUCCUUUGACGAAGCAAGAGGUGGAAUAUUGGGAGAUGAGAGCCUUGGAGAAAGAGGGGCAGAGCAAGAAGGAAGAACCGACAGAUCCGCCGCCGGAGCCGAAGGACGAUCCAAGGGAAGGGGAUCAGGGGAAAGAGGACCGGAAGAGCCAACGGGAGAGGAGGAAGGUGGAUCCGGCCAAGGAAGGAGGAAAAGCAGGUCUUGAGGCACCGAUGCGACCGGAUCUGGAGGUUUAGAAGCCAUACAGAGAGAAGAUAAGGGAGGAGAGGUUUCUCGGCGGUUAGCGUGAGACGUAACCGACGGCGGCGUUAGGAACGAACCCUAAUCACCUAAGCGCCGGAGAAGGCGAGAGCUUUUUUAGUGUAUUAUCAAUUUUUUUUUUGUUUGUUUCAGACGAAAUCAAUCAGCAAGACCGUUGGGGUUAGAAAUUCAUUCAUUGAAUAAUUUCGUUGUAUUAACUUUUAAGCGUAGCCAGUAUGGAGGUAAUUUCAAAACAAAUUCUUGUCUAGCAACCUGUUUUUACUUUAAUUUGCCUCCAUACUUACCUUAUCUUGAAUUUGUACAGUUACGAGUGUUUUCUACAAAGACCUUGACUUGUCUUUACCAUACUAUUCAAAGUAAACGAUAGCGAUCACUCACUUAACGCAUGUCACAUGACUUUUAGGUGUGUUUUUUUCAUUAACAGAGACUUGGACUUUUUCUAAAUAUACAGAAUCAUUUCUUGUUGAAUUUGCAUUGAACUUCACAAUCCCACGUUCGUUUUUGGAGUUUGCUUUUCUAUUAUUGUGUUAUUUGUAAUGGAGCGGAAGUUUUUCUUGGGCCAAUAUUUGAUAUGUGUGAUAUUACUGUUGGGGCAGCUACAUGGAUACAAAAGCUGUAUUCAGAAAGAAAAGUUGGCUUUGUUGGAGCUCAAGAAAUACAUAAUCUCACAAAGUAGGCUACCCGAUUUCGUUCUCCCUACUUGGACUAAUGACAGAAGGAGCGAUUGUUGCCGAUGGGAGGGCCUUAAGUGCAACCGCACAAGCGGACGGGUGACUGAGAUUGUGCUUAGUGAUUUGUUCCUCAAAGAGAGCUCUCUCUUCAAUCUUUCUUUGCUGCAUCCCUUUGAAGAGGUUCGAAGUCUGAACUUUUCAACGCUAGUGGGAGGAAGUUGCUUCUUCGAUGAUGUUGAAGGUAUUUACCAGGUUUUCCUUUGCAUUGGAAGUUCUUAUGUUUCCUGUGUUUAGGGUUCUACUUCUUUAACGAACCUUUAUGGACUAAAUCAUACUUGAUUGUUUCAAAUUUUCAUGCAAGUCACUUGCUCAUGUCUGUGUGCACCAUGUUGCGUGUUGCAAUCACAUCAGACGGUGACUUGCAUCCCUUCACAUGAAAGUCAUAAUAAUUGAUUGAGAUAUGUUAUCAGUAUUUAUAUGCUUAGCAAGAUUCUCAUUUGCAGGGUAUAAAAGCCUAGGGAAGUUAAGUAGCCUCAAGAUUCUGGAUCUCUCAAGAAAUAAAUUCAACAACAGCAUAUUUCCCUUUCUUAAUGCCGCUACAUCACUUACAACUCUUUUUCUUCGGGAAAACAACUUGGAUGGCCCUUUUCCUGCUAAAGGUAUGUUUUUUUUUUUUCCAUUUGUAAUUGUGUGGAAACACAGGAUGGCCUCAUUAUUGAUGAUGUCUUUGUACGUUAGUUCGAUCCAAUAAUUAUAAUUAUUGUUAUAACUUCAAGUCCUAUAUUUGUUGGAUUUGCUUUCAGAACUUAAAGAUUUGACAAACUUGGAACUGUUGGACCUGAGUAGUAACAGAUUUAAUGGCUCCAUACCAGUACAAGGUAGCUCAGAAAUUUUUAGCUGAUUCAAUGGCUGCAUAACCCUUUGUUUUUAAUUGGCUCGUGCAAUCUUUGAAACCAUGAUGUUCGUAGGUAAAGGUGCUUAUCUUUGUGUUGGCUUUGUCUUGUGGCAGAGUUAUCUUCCCUGAGGAAGCUGAAAGCUCUGGAUCUAAGUGGUAAUGAGUUUUCUGCAUCAAUGGGAUUGCAAGGCAAGUCAAAACAUAUCUUUAGCUACUCCGUUAAAACUGGUGGUGAAUUAACGUUUAUUCAUGUGUAUAAAUUUUUUGCAUUUGAUUAUCGUAGGGAUUUGCGAAAUGAAGAAUAUGCUAGAUCUUGAUCUCAGUCGAAACAAACUAGUAGGUCAGUUUCCCUUAUGCUUAACUAGCUUGAGUGGACUUAGAGUUCUUGAUCUCUCAUCAAACCAAUUGACUGGGAAUGUGCCACCUGCUCUCGGUAACCUUGAAUCCCUCAAGUACUUAUCGUUGAUUGAUAACAACUUCGAAGGCAUCUUCUCACUUGGUUCGCUUGCCAACCUCUCAGAGCUUGGGGUUUUCAAACUUGGUUCAAAAUCCAAAUCACUUCAAGUAGAGUCUGAAAGUUCUUGGAAGCCAAAAUUUCAUUUGAGUGUUAUUGAACUACCAUCUUGCAACUUGGUAAAGGUUCCUCAUUUUCUCGUAUACCAGAAGGAUUUGCGUCGCAUUGAUCUCUCCCACAAUAAUGUUUCUGGAAAUUUUCCUUCUUGGCUAUUGGCAAACAAUACGCAACUCAAAGUUUUGUUUCUACAAAAUAAUUCGUUUACGAGCUUUCAGCUACCGAAAUCUGCUCAUAAGCUACUUAUCCUAGAUGUGUCAGCUAAUGAAUUCAGUCAUCUGCUUCCUGAGAACAUUGGGUGGAUACUUCCUCAUUUACGGUAUAUGAAUAUCUCCAAGAACGGGUUCCAAGGAAAUAUGCCAUCUUCUUUGGGUAAUAUGGAGAGGAUUCAAUAUCUGGAUAUAUCUCACAACAACUUCCAAGGGAAGCUACCAAGAAGUUUUGUAAUGGGUUGUUAUUCCAUGGUAUCUUUGACGCUGUCACAUAACAACCUAAGUGGAGAGAUUUUCCCGGAAUCAGUCAACUUUACUGAUAUAUCGGAGCUGUCUAUGGAUAACAAUCAGUUUACAGGAAAGAUUGGAAAAGGUUUGCGUAGCUUGAGAUACUUGGAAUUGCUUGACAUUUCGAACAACAAUCUCACGGGUGUUAUUCCAAGCUGGAUUGGCGAGCUUAAAUCCUUAGUUGUAGUACUUGUUUCAAACAACUCGUUGGAAGGUGAGAUACCUGUUUCGUUGUUCAACAGAAGAUUUCUUCAGCUACUGGAUCUCUCUGCAAACAAUUUAUCUGGGGGCAUACCUCCACACGUCAAUUCUAGGUAUCCCGUAGCGUUAUUCCUGCAAGACAAUAAGUUAUCAGGGGUCGUUCCAGACACAUUGCUAACGAAUGUCACUGUACUUGAUCUGAGAAAUAACAGAUUGUCUGGGAAUAUUCCCGAGUUCACCAACAACCGAAACACCCAUACUCUUCUUCUCCCAGGGAAUAAUCUAACAGGCAGCAUUCCCCACCAGUUGUGUGGCCUAAGAAACAUCCAACUUCUUGAUCUUUCAAACAACAGAUUGAAUGGAUCCAUACCUUCAUGUCUCAGCAAUACAUCAUUUCUUCUUGGGAAAGAAGAGGAUAUAAUUUAUGAUUAUGAUUACGGCCGUAUUAACCAGCUUGAUCUUGCGGGUGGUUUCCAAGAUCCGUUCAAAUUUCUUAUUGUGCUAGAUCCGUUUAGUAUGGUAUACGGGCCAAUCAUCCAGCUUAAGAUAGAGUUUGCAACUAAACACCGAUACGAUGCCUACGUGGGUGGAGUUCUCGUAUUAUUGUUUGGAAUGGAUCUCUCAGAAAAUGAGCUGAGUGGUGAUAUCCCUGUAGAGCUUGGAGGUCUUCUGGAGAUACAAGCUCUCAAUCUUUCUCACAACAACUUAUCAGGCGUGAUACCAGAUAGCUUUUCAGGUCUGAAGAAUGUGGAAAGUCUUGAUCUUUCCUUCAACAAAUUACAAGGCCGGAUUCCACCAAGACUAGCAGAUCUGAGCAGCCUAGGUGUGUUCAAUGUUUCAUACAACAACUUAUCAGGAGCCAUUCCCCUGGGAAGACAUUUUAGCACCUUUGAUACACAAAGCUUCCUCGGUAAUCCUCUUCUCUGUGGGCAACCAACCGACAUAAGCUGCAACGGUAACACCAUUCAAGCACCAGAUAAUGUAGCCAGAGAUGAAGAAAGCACAAUCGACAUGGUUUCUUUCUACUGGAGUUUUGCUGCAGCCUAUGUUACAGUACUUCUUGGAGUACUUGCAUCUCUCUCUUUUGAUUCUCCAUGGAGCAGAUUUUGGUUCUACACGGUUGAUGCUUUCAUCCACAAGGCGAGGAAUUUGUUGUGGUAAACCAUUAUUGGUGACAAAUUCUUAUAUUGUCCCCAUCUGUUUCUAUUCUUCACAAGACCUCCUGCUUUGUGUAGCCAACCAGAACAUUACUUGUGUUUGGUUCCUAUGUACUGUCUUUGUCAUUGUCUAUGAAUAAAUGUAUUGUCUCAAACAUUUCUUUGUUCCUGAGUAGCUUAUUGGUUGGUUUACUAAAAAAUCCUCAGAAAUCAGGAACUUGCAGGGAACAAUUUUAAGGUAGAAAAGAGUGCAGACCCAAGAAUGAAAUAAAUACAGAGAAUUUUCCAUUAUACCGCUUUACUGAUUUUCUUCAGGUAACCGUCUCAAGAACUUCAGAUAUUACAAUAACAUACCAUAUGGAUACUAAUUCAUUAUCCUGUUGUAGAAUACAAAUGAGUCAAAUGAGCAUAUGAAUCAGCAGAGAAAUAGAAAGACCAGAGAGAAACAUAGAACAUAGCUAAAAGAGUUAGAGAAAGAGGAUGUGAAACGAUAGCGUUUUGCGUUAUUCCCUUGUUUCUGACGUCGCCAACUGAGAAAGCCACGUCAGCAACUCAUUUGGCAGAGAAUUUCAUGGUUAGAUUUUUUAUUUUUAUUUUACCAGAAUCUCAUUCAUUCUUAUGCAGAAAAUUAAUUAUCAGCUGAAUUACUCAACAAGCUUUACGUUGCUAAAAGAUUAACAUACCUGAUACAAGGAAUAUAUAUACGUAACUAAGACUAAGUAAAAGAUUCGAGGGGGCAAUUCAGGGCUAUUACAAAGAGUAUAGUUUUGUUCUUCCAGAAUCCCAAAGAUUUGGGGAUUAACCCUGCCUAACAUUCAUCUCUCUCGCUUGACCGGAUUUUUUGAAAAUAUUAAAUCAUUGUCACUCUUUUUAACUUUUGUUCCCCUUCACAUUGUACUUGAAAUACAGCAAUUGGCUAUUGCACACUGUAAAUAGUACUCUUGAGGAUGAGGAAAUUGUAGUUGGCUAAUGUAUACAAUUUUUAUUUGUUAGUUGUGAUAAAGCUUCGUAAGAGUUGAUAAUGCGAAGCACGCCACAGGCACAAGUAUGUUAUAUGAUAUGAAUGCUUCUCCACAGAAGAUAUUGUAUUUUCUUAUGCACCAUAAUUGGUGUUUUCCAAUUCCUCUAUGUUUAAUACUUGUAAACAUAAAUUCUUUGUUUUUCCUUUUUAAUCUCUGAUUAUAAUUCUCUUGGCUCAAACCAAUAGAAGGGAAGCUAUUCUUGUCUGAAAACUUGAUAUGGGCGAUGAUACUAUAUAUCACAAAUAACAUCAAAAACUCAUUCUUCACAUUUUAUUCCUAAGUUCACACAGUUCAACAUUUACACGUAAAAAAUAUGAUAACUGAAGUGAUCAGUGUAGGCUAUGUUAUUUUGUAUACAUUGUUUAAUAAUUUUUUUUUUCUUUUUUGCAGGUUAUAAAAGCCUGAAGAGAUUAAGGAACCUGAAGAUUAUGGAUUUUUCUUCAAGUGAAUGCAACAACAGCAUCUUUCCCCUUAUCAUCCUUAGCUUUAUUGCUUAGUACCCAGCAAAUUUUCUGUGACGUAAUGCAUUGGUCGAAGUAACAGAUGCUGACCGCACAAUUUCUACGGAGACUUUGACUUUAUAUGCCAAACGAAUCUCUAAGCUUAUCAUAACGACUGAAAGUAAACGCUAAACGACAGUGAUCACUCACGCUCCAACUGGGACCUGAAUUGACUUUGUAAGUGUGCAAUUAUUUCCUCGAAUUUGGUGUAUUCCUUUGGAAAAAUUUGAAGAAAUCUUGUAAAUUGUGGAGGUACUUGCAUUGAGCGGACAAGUCACUUUGGAUUAUCUUUCAUUUGCUUUUAUUUUUCGGUUUGAUUUGCAAUGGAAGGGAAGGUGUUCUUGAGAAAAUACUUGAUAUGUGUGAUGUUAUUGUUGGGGCAGCUAUAUGGAUACAAAAGCUGUGUUGAGAAAGAAAGGAAUGCUUUGUUGGAGCUCAAGAAAUACAUAAUGUCAAUUAGUAAAGAGGAGGAGCCCGACUAUGUUCUACCUACUUGGACUUAUGACACAAAGAGUGAUUGCUGCGAGUGGGAUGGCGUUACGUGCAACCAAACAAGCCAACAUGUGACCGAGAUUGCCUUUGGUACACUGAACCUCAAACAGAGUUCUCCUCUUAAUCUUUCUUUGUUGCAUCCCUUUGAAGAAGUCCGAAGUCUGAACUUAUCCAAGUCCAGAUUCAGUUAUUUAUACCCGAUCGAAGAGAGAGGAUUCCAGGGAGAGACAAACAACCUUUUCGAUGACUUAUUUGACGAUGUGGAAGGUAUACCAGGCUUUCUCUAGUGGUUAGGUUUUAACAUUUGGUUUGUUAUUGGAGCUUUUGAUCUGUUCCUUGCAUUAGGGGUCUACUUCUCUAAAUAACCUAAUGCAUUUAUUUCGUGAUAUGUCUGUGUCCCAUGUUGCAUUCUCGUCACACGUUCACUUACUUUCCCUUUCCCCGUGCAUAGAGUUCAUCUGGAUGCAUACUAAGCGAUUGGAUUAAGAUAUGCUAAUCAUUAAUUAUAUGCUUAACCAGAUUCUUCUGUGGGUUUAUCCAAAAUAAAAGCUUCGUUUUUCAGGUUAUAAAAGCUUAGGGAGAUUAAGAAACCUGGAGAUUCUGGAUCUCUCUUCAAAUAAAUUCAACAACAGCAUCUUUCCCUUUCUUAAUGCCGCUACAUCACUUACAACUCUUUUUCUUCGCGAUAACUACUUGGAUGGCCCUUUUCCUGCUAAAGGUAUAAUUUUGUUUGAUCGAUUCAGUUUAUAAUGCUAUAAUUCUAUAUGUCUUAAAUUCAAGUUGUAUAAUAUUCAAUUAUAUUUGUUGGCCUCCAUUUCAGAACUUGGAGAUUUGAUAAACCUGGAACUGCUGGACCUGAGUAUUAACAGGUUCAAUGGCACCAUACCAGUACAAGGUAGUUGUCCGUAAAUGUUUUUUUUUUUUUUGUUCCUAAGGUGAUAGGUCAAUCAAUUCAAUGGCUACGUACAACAUUGUUGGAUAAUUAGUCCCUUGAGGUGAACAUGUUCGUAUAUUUAAAACUGUUUACCUUUGUAUGGCAGAGCUAUCUGCCCUGAUGAAACUGAAAGCUCUGGAUCUAAGUGAUAAUGAAUUUUCUGGCUCAAUCGAAUUGCAAGGCAAGUUUACUCAAGUAUCUCACGUUUUUGAUUAAAAAGAAGCUGUGGGUUGAAUUCACGCUCAAGUAAAUGACUUAAAGCUUCUGCGUUUGAUUAACGUGUAGGGAUCUGCAAAUUGAAGAAUAUGCAAGAGCUUGAUUUAAGUCGAAACAAACUUGUAGGCCAGUUUCCCAUAUGUUUAACUGGAUUGACUGAACUUCGAGUUCUUGAUUUGUCAUCAAACCAAUUGGAUGGGAAUGUGCCAUCUGCUCUUGGUAACCUUGAAUCGCUUGAGUACUUAUCGUUGUUUGAUAACAACUUCGAAGGAAUCUUCUCACUUGGUUCGCUCUCCAACCUCUCAGAGCUUAGAGUGUUAAAACUUGGUUCAAAGUCCAACUCACUUCAAGUGGAGUCUGAAGAUUCUUGGAAGCCAAGAUUUCGGUUAAAUGCUAUUGUACUAGGAUCUUGCAACUUGGACAAGGUUCCUCAUUUUCUCCUACAACAGAACGGUUUGCGUCAUGUUGAUCUCUCCGACAAUAAAAUAUCUGGGAAUUUUCCUUCCUGGCUGUUGGUGAACAAUACAGAACUCCAGGUUCUGCGUCUACAGAAUAAUCAUCUCAAGAGCUUUCAGUUACCAAAAUCCACUCAUGGUCUGGCUUUACUGGACGUGUCUGUUAAUGAUUUCAAUCAUCUGUUUCCUGAGAACAUUGGGCGGAUACUUCCUCAGUUAGUGUUUAUGAAUAUAUCAAGUAACGGUUUUCAAGGAAAUCUGCCAUCUUCUCUGGAUAACAUGAUGAGUGAGAUUACAAAUCUGGAUCUAUCUCACAACAGCUUCCAUGGGAAGAUACCAAGAGGUUUCUUGAAGGGUUGUUAUUCCAUGAAUAUUUUGAAGUUGUCACAUAACAGACUAAGUGGAGAGGUUUUUCCAGAAGAAGUUGAUUUUUUUGGUAUAUUGGAGCUGUAUAUGGAUAACAAUCAGUUUACAGGAAAUAUUGGAAAAGGUUUACGGAGCUUGACAUCUUUGAGUAUGCUUGAUAUUUCGAACAACAAUCUCACUGGUGUUAUUCCAAGUUGGAUCAGCGAACUUUCAUCCUUAAAUGCACUGCUGCUUUCAAACAACUCGUUGGAAGGUGAAAUACCUAUUUCCUUGUUAAACAUGACCAAUCUUAAUCUACUUGACCUCUCUGCAAACAUUUUGUCUGGGGAGAUACCUCCACACGUCAAAUCCUCAAGCCCGUUAGUAUUACUCCUGCAAGACAAUAAGUUAUCAGGGGUCAUUCCAGACACAUUGCUAACGAAUGUCACUGUACUUGAUCUGAGAAACAACAGAUUGUCUGGGAAUAUUCCCGAGUUCAUCAACACCCAAAGCAUUGGUAUUCUUCUUCUCCGAGGUAAUAAUCUUACAGGCCGUAUUCCUCGCCAGUUUUGUGGCCUAAGCAACAUCCACCUCCUGGAUCUUUCCAACAACAGAUUGAAUGGAUCCAUACCUUCAUGUCUUAGCAAUACAUCAUUUGGUUUGUGGAAAGAGGACGCAUUUUACUUUUUUGAUUUCUCUUUCGGUGACAAUCCUAUUAGUUUCGAGGUUGGUUAUGCUCUGGAACAGGAUUCCACUUCCACAAAAGGUGUUGGUAGAUAUUUCAAGUCUCUGCUUAUGCUUGAUCCGUUCAAUAUGGAUUACAAGGCAAUCACACAGACGAAAAUUUAUUUUGCAACAAAACACCGAUACGAUGCCUACAUGGGUGGAAAUCUUCAACUGUUCUUUGGAAUGGAUCUUUCACAAAACGAGCUGAGCGGUGAGAUCCCAUUUGCGCUUGGAGAUCUUCUGAAACUACAUGCACUCAAUCUUUCUCACAACAACUUAUCAGGCGUGAUACCAGACAGCUUUUCAAGUCUGAAGAAUGUGGAAAGUCUUGAUCUUUCCUUCAACAAAUUACAAGGUCGGAUCCCAUCAAAACUAGCAGGACUGAGCAGCCUAGCUGUCUUCAAUGUCUCGUUCAACAACUUAUCAGGAGUCAUUCCACAUGGAAAACAGUUUAACACUUUUGAUACGGAAAGCUAUUUAGGUAAUCUUCUUCUAUGUGGACAACCAACAAACAAAAGCUGCAAUGGUAAUACAAUUGACGCACCGGAUAAUGUAGAGGAAGACGAAGAAAGCACAAUCGACAUGGUUUCUUUCUACUGGAGUUUUGCUGCAGCCUAUGUGACCAUACUUCUUGGAACAUUCGCGUCUCUCUCUUUUGAUUCUUCUUGGAGCAGAUUUUGGUUCUAUAUCGUUGAUGAUUUCAUCCACAAGGUGAGGAAUCUGUUGUGGUAAACAAUUUCUUAUAUUGUUGUCCCCUUCUGUCUCUGUUCUUCUGAAAACCUCUUAAUAACAUGUUUGGUUCCUCUGUAUUGUCUUUGAAUAAAUGUAAUGCCUCAAACAAUCCUAGAGCUCGUUUUUUUUUUACAUCUAUCUUUAUUUCCUAGUUCUCGUUAUGUGGUUGGUUCAAUAAAUAAUAUCAUAAUUAUGAAAUACAAGAACUUGCAUGGAAAAAAAAAAACUCAAAAGUAGGAAAAAAAAAAGAAUACAGAGAGUUUUCCGUUUAUAGUAAGAAGUUCUCUUGCUUCUUUUAAGAGUCUCCGCAUGUACGAUCUCAUUCACCAGAUCCUUGAAGAUAAGCCUCUCCACAUCCAGCACCAAUCCUGAGAUUUCUCCACUGAAGUCCACCCAGUUCCCAGACCGAACCAUCACAUCUUCUGCAAGUAUACUUUUCAAGAAGUCGUCUUCUUCCUCCAACAAGAAGUUUUCUGAUCUCUUUGUGGCUUGCUUUUGCAGUGUUUCUAUCUCUGAACACAGUUCUUUCAGUAGCUGUUGCGCACUCAUGGCUUUCUUAGUCAUCUUAGUUGAUGACUUCAUCAAUGGAUUCAUCGUGGCUUCAACCGAAGCUAGUUUCUCCACAAGAAUUUCAUUAACGGUGUCAAACACAAGUUUGCGGUUGAGCUUCUCCUUGUUCAAAACCGAUGCGUAGUGCUGCUUCCCUAUGUCUUCAAUGGUUUUCAACUUUUCUGUGGGCAACCAACAAGCAGAAGCUGCAAUACCUUUCAAGAACCAGAUGAUGAAGUGGAAGGUGAUGAAUCCGCAAUCGACAUGGAAUCUUUCUACUGGAGUUUCGCUGCAGCGUAUGUGACAAUACUUGUUGGAAUACUCGCAUUGCUCUCAUUUGAUUCUCUUUGGAGAAGAUUGUGGUUCUACAUCGUUGAUGCUUUCAUCUACAAGGUGAGGAAUCACUUGUGGUAAAACCAGUAUUGGUGACAAAUUCUUCAUAAAUGUAAUGCUUCCACAUCAAAUCACCCAACUUUUUCAUUUGGAGAAAAGAAAAGAGUAUGUAUUUAUUAUACUUUUAUCAAGCAAAACCCCUCUUCGCCAUUGGAUCUCUCUUCGUUUCGUCUCGCUCUCAUUCUCAUCUCAACACAACACACUUUACAAAAGAGAAAAAAAAACCUUUAAGUCACAGAAAACGGUGAUAUCCGCCGUUUCACAAUGGCCAUCGCGUCGCGACUGCCGUUAUCUUCAUAUCCGCCGCCGUUUUUAGCGCGUCUUCGUCUCACCUCCUUCUUACUUCACGGUGGCGAUCGCUGGACGGAUACUUCAACAAUCGCCAUUGGAAAAUCUACGGUUUUCGCUGAGACAACUGAAUUAUGUGAAACGACAGCGUUUUCGUUAUUCCCUUGUUUCUGACGUCUCCGACUCAGAAACCCACGUCAGCAACUCAUUUGGCAGAAUUUCAAUUCAUGGUUAGAUAUAUUUUUAUUUUUUUUCCCAGAAUUUCGUUCGUUCAUUCUCAGAAAUUUAAUUAUCAGCUGAAUUACUCAACGAGCUUUACGUUGCUAAAAAGAUUAACGUACAAGGAAUAUUUACGUAACUAAGGCUAAGUAAUAGUUUAAUCCGUCUUCUUCUCUUUAGUUUAAUUCUAUUCUCCAAAAUAUAGUUUUGUUUGUCAAGAAUCCCAAAGGUUGGAGGAUUGACCCUGCCUAAUAUGCAUCUCUCUCGCUUGAGCUUAAAAAUUUGACAAACUUGGAACUGUUGGACCUGAGUAAAACGAAUUUAAUGGCUCCAUACCAGUACAGAGUAGUGUCAACGUUAUUGUGACUGUCUAUAGAUGCUUACCAUAGAUGCAGUCUUUAUGGUAUCUUUCCACAAGAGGUUCGCUAUAGCUUAUGUGACCAUAUUUCUGGGAAUACUCAGCUUCACUCCCUUUUGAUUCACCUUGGAGCAGAGCUUGGUUUAGUGUUGUUGAGGCUUUUAUCCAUAAGAUGAAAACUUUCUUAUCCCAAAUUACAGUGGUUAAGAGUGUAAGCUGGUCUCUUGAAAGUAUAUAAUCAUUUAUUGUGACAAUUCCGUUCUGAUAUACUUGUAAUUUGUUCUUCAGCUCGGCGAUCAGUACUCCCUGAUUCUUAAUCGCUUUUUUUGUUUUAAUUCUAUUACAGAAUAUCUAAUAUUGGUCAUUAACUAAUAAAUUAUAUACAGUAUAUAGUUUGGCUACCUACUUUAUUAACCCUUGAAUUAUUACGUGGUAUAUAAGCUUGAGGGAAAAAAAAUGCUUUGAAACUUGGCUUUAAACAAGCUACCAAUUUGUGAAAAAAAAGCCCGUUUACUAUGUAAAAAAACUUACCAACCCUGUCUCGUAGAACCUAUGCAACUCCUCCUUACUUCUUCUGUUUGGAGAAGGAGAAUCCGAUGUUGCAUUUUAACCAGUCCAGUGGCUUUGCUUCCCUCGUUUAAUUUGGGCGUUUUGGGUUAUUGUAACUUGUAAGUUUCUAUAACCUUCGAUAAAUAUCUAGAUGACCAAAAAAAAAAAAGCUUGAGGGAAAAAUAUAUAUAUUCCAAUAUUUUCCAUAUUAUCAUCCUUUAAUUCUAUUGCUAAGCAAUUUUCUGUGACUUAAAAAGCAUUUUGGUCGAAGUAAAAGAUGCUGACCGCACAAUUUCUACGGAGACCUUGACAUUAUAUGCCAGACGAUUCUAAGUAAACGCUAGACCACAAUGGUCACUCAUGCCCCGACGACUGGGACCUGAAUUGACUUUGUAAAUGUACAAUUAUUUCCUCGAAUUUAGUGUAUUCCUCUGGAAAUUUGAAGAAUUCUUGUAAAUUUUGGAGGUACUUGCAUUGAGCGGACAAGUCACCUUGGAUUAUCUUUCAUUUGCGUUUUUUUUUUCGGUUUAUUUGCAAUGGAAGGGAAGGUGUUCUUGGGAAAAUACUUGAUAUGUGUGAUGUUACUGUUGGGGCAGCUACAUGGAUACCAAAGCUGUGUUGAGAAAGAAAGGAAUGCUUUGCUGGAGCUCAAGAAUUACUUUGUCUCAAUUACUCGAGAAGUUUUCGUAGACGAUGUUCUCCCUACUUGGACUAAUGACACAAAGAGCAAUUGCUGCGGCUGGGAUGGCCUUAGGUGCAAUCUUACAAGCGGACGGGUGACCGAGAUUGCCCUUUCUGGCACCUAUCCCUUUCUGACAAUCUUAAAAGAGAAUUCUCUCCUUAAUCUUUCGUUGCUACAUCCUUUUGAAGAUGUUCGAAGUCUGAACUUCUCCGGGCACCUUCUCAGUGGCUUGUUUGAUGACGUUGAAGGUAUACCAGGCUUUCCCUAGUAGUUAGCUUUUAAUAUUCUGUUUUUCAUUGGAACUUUCAUGUUUUCUCUCCUUUAGGGAUCUACUUCUCUGAAGAACCUAUAUGGACUAGAUCUUUGUUCAUUGUUUCUAGUUCUUGAAAGUUAUUGUUUCUCGUUGCAGGUUGUAAAAGCUUGAGGAGAUUAAGAAACCUGGAGAUUCUGGAUCUCUCUUAUAAUGAAUUCAACAACAGUAUCUUUCCCUUUCUUAACGCUGCAACAUCACUCACAACUCUUUUUCUUAGGGACAACUUCAUGGUUGACCCUUUUCCUGUUAAAGGUAUGUUUUCCCAUUUGUAUAUAUAGCAUGUCCUAAUUCUUUUAGGGAUGAUAUAUUAUUCUUCUACUAGGGAUUAACCCGCGCUAUAUAUUUUUUAUCAUUAAUUAAUUUAAAUAAUUUUAUGAAACAGUUAUUUUGUAAAAACAGUUAUUGUUAUAAAGUUUACAAUAAUAUAGUGCAUAUUUUUAUGAAUUUUAAAUAAUGAAUUGAUCUGUAUAUAUAUAUAUAUAUAUAUAUAUUUGAAUUAUAAAAAAUAAGUUAAUCCGUAUAUGAAAUUAUUUUAUAAGCGUGUAAAACAAAAUAAGUUGUUUUAAUUUCGUUGGUACUAAACUAAAAUAUUAAUUAGGCUAAUAUAUAAAAAUUAUAAUAUUAUAAUCAUCAACUCUAAUUUGCAUCGUUUAAUAAUUGACAUUUAUAAUCUGUUCACAAACUAUAAAAAUUUAAUUUUAUCUUUUUAACUAUAUAUGAAAAUAAUAUAAUAUUCUUUACACUUAGGUUUGAUAUACAAUAAAUAAAUAUAUAACAAAUUAUAUUUAAUUUUAAAAAUAAAUAUAAUUUAGUAGAUUGAAUAUAUUACCUAUUUUAAAAAAUUAAUAUUUUGAAUUUUGAGAUUUUUUGUGGGUAUUAAAAAAUUAAAAUUAUAAUCUAUUCAUAUCGAACUAACCAUUUACUUAACAUGUUUGUAUUGGAUAAAAAUUUAAUAAUUAAUUAUAAUAUUCACCGUUCAAUAACUCUUAUUUUACCACAAACUUUUUUUAUUUAAAAAUCAAUUUUUUUAUAUCAAAAUUUUAGUAAAAUAACUAAAAAUGUAUUUUUGUAUAUAAUCAAUCAAAUGUAGCAAAUUAUUGAAAAAAAAUACUUCACCACUUUUUUAAUAUCAUAACUUUUAAUUUUGACUUUUAUAAUAUUUCUAAUUCAAAAAUUGAUUUUCACGUUUUUUAAUUAAAAUAUACUUUAUAAUAUCAUUUGAAAAUAAAAAUAAUAAAAAUACUAUCAUAUUUUUAAAUUUAGAAAUUAAAUAAUAAAUAUACUCUAUUAAAUGAGAAAUAAAAAUUUUCCAUAUUUUUAGCAAUAGAGUUGAAAGACAACUAUAUCAUUUUCUAUUUUAAUUAUUCUUUGUUAUUUUUAAUAGCAUUAAUAUUUUACAAAAUAAAGAUUAUAUUUUAAGAGUUUCAGAUUUAACUCAUAUUUCAAAGUCAAACACAAAACUAACCUCUUUUUUUUCUCUCUCCAACUUUUGUUAUUUUCUCACAAUUUUAUCCUUCUCACUUAAACUAUUAUCGAAAAUGCCAUUAUACAUCUAAUAAAUCGAUUUUUCUUUAAUUGGCUAAAGUCUUCUUGGACCUUCUAAAAACUUUUUAAUUACGAGACUGCCAUCGUCUUUAGUAUCUUCAACCACCAUGAACAACCAUGAAAAUGGAAUAAAUGCUUAUCAACCUGUUUUAAAGCUGUAAUAAAACAAAUAUCUAAGCUCAUUCACUCAUAAUCUUGCUCAUUCUAUCAUAAUUUCUUCUCCAAAACAUCUGGGCAUAGUUGCAAUGCUUCGCGCCAUCCUUUUGCGGUGAAUUCUGGUUUACUCGACACCUGGGUUGUUUAAUUUCAGUGAAAUCCUAAGUUCUGGGUAGAUAAGAGAAACUUAGGGGAGCUCAAUUUUGUCAAAGGUAAUUCUCGCACUUCAAUUUCUCCACAUUUCAGUUUUUAUAUCGCGAAAGUAGACUUCUCGUGAACUAUAGUAAAGCCUAUGAGUCAACAUAAGGUUAUUUUUGCAAUUGACUUUUAAAAAGUAGACUUCUUUAAACCUCACGAGAAGUCUACUCGAUAUCCUUUGAAAACAAAAUAAAAUCAUAGUAGACUUCAUCUGACGGCUUAAGAAGUCUACGAAAGAAAAGAGGUUAUUUUUGUAGUUGACCGUAUUUUGACUUUUUAAUGUAGACUUCUAACUGAAGUUUACUGUUUACGUCUGCACACGAAGUCUACAUUUAGGUUAAUUUUGUAGUUUGACCAAAAACAUAUAGGUCAUUUUUGUGUUUGACUUAUGUUUUUCAAAAAUUAAAAAAUUAAAAAAAUUUCAAAAAGCUUCAGUAGACUUCACAAAGAAGUCUACAGUUUGUAGACUUCUUUGUGAAGUCUACUUAUUGUGUUCGGUCAAACUUAGAAGGAAUAUUUUUUUAGUAGACUUCAUUGUGAAGUCUACUAAAAAAAUUCAAUUGCAAAAAUAACCUAUUUCGUUCCGUAGACUUCUAUUUAUAAAGUAGACUUCAAACGUAGACUGCCAGAGAAGUCUACUCUUACAUGAAGUCUACAAUAGAAGUCUACUGUGUUAGUCAACGCGGUGGUCAAAUGCAAAAGUAACAUUCUUUGCCUGAAGUCUACAACUGAAGUCUACUGAAGAAAAAGUCAACGGAAUGGUCAAUUGCAAAAAUAACAUUUUUUUAGUAGACUUCAGUAGUAGACUUCUCAAUGAAAAAGUAGACUUCUCCUCCAGUCUACAUUCGAAGUCUAAAUAAGAAGUCUACUUUCCUAUGUUUUUUUUAAAACGCGUUUUAAGCAAAUGUAUAAAAUAUUUUUCAAACUUUUUGGUUCAGAAUUGCCUCUUAUUAGGUGAUUGAGCUACCCAUUGAAUUUUAUCUCAUUUCAUUGGAUAUUCAUGGUGGAAUCAGAAGUUUCAAUUUUUAAGAUACUUAGCUUAUAAAAGUAGACUUCGUAGUGAAGUCUACGUUCUAAGUCUACACUAGAAGUCUACGUUUAGACGUUUUUAUAAAAACGCCAUUUAAGCAAAUCUAUAAAAAAAAUUUCAAAUUUUUUUGUUUACAAUUGUUUAUUAAUUAGUGAUUGAACUAUCUAGGGCUUUUUAUUCUGUUUCAUUGAAUAUUUCUUGUUGAAUCAGAAUUUUCGAUUUUUAAGGUACUCAGCUUAUCAAAGUAGACUUCAUCGUGAAGUCUACUUUGAUACAAAAAGUCUCUAUGAUUGUUUGCUAAUACGGUUUAUAUGGUUAUUUUUCAGAGGAUGGCUCAAAUUCCAGACUUAUAAUUCUUAUCAUAAUAAAACUUUCUGUUGACUUAUACUAUCGGUGUACACUUUUCCGCAUACACUUUGUUUUGUAUACUCGAAAAUUACAUAACUUAAUUAUAAGGGUGAAAUCGAAAAUUUGAAAUAUUAACAUGUUAAUAGACUUAAUAGACUUCAGUACAGAUACAAUGACAAGUUAGUAGACUUCAGUCACAGACUUCAGUCGUAGACUUCAGUUUUAGUACAAAUCCUAAACGAAAAUACAACAUAUUUGGCAAGUUAAUUAUAAGAUAGGUGGCCAAAAAACUUCCACACCUAUUAUUUACCAAUUGCUAAAAUGACCUCCAAUCACAUGGAAGGUCAUUUAUGCAAAUAGCCCAAAAGUUGCCAUAAAAAUCAAAGUUAAUUUUAAGAACGAAAACACUAAGCUUGCCUAUCAUAGACAUCCAACCCGGUUGCAUCUAGCUUAUCAUGGCCCUUACAUCCUGUCGCAGCCAGCUGGCGGUGUCGGGCACUCGUUGCUCGGGAAACUAGCUGAGCCGCUUCUCUGGCUUUGGCAUUUUUGGCAAGUGCAACCGCAUCGAAGUCUACAUCACACGUCUUCGGGUCAAUUUCACAAAUACUAGGCUCUGGGGCCUCUUCUUCAUUAACGGCAGCCUUCUUUCCUUUUGCAUCCCCGGGGGUGUUAACACUCUCACACGCACCAACGUUGACAUUAGCCCUCUUCGGAGCAUCAUCUUUCUCUGAAUUACUCUGUAGUUUAUUGUCAGAAACAUGCAUGAAUAUACAAAUGAGUACACCAAUGCUAUAAUUUAGUAACAUGUUUUAUCAUAGUCUGAAAAUUGUAAACAACAAGUUUUGAAAACAUAAGUAAAUAAUCUCAAAUGGUACAUAACAGUAGUAAACAUGUUCGAAUUCAAAUGACAUUAGUAUUAAGUGUUCCUAACUUUGUGUGAUCCUGUUCGCAUGUAAUGUUUUCGUAUAGGCGGAGGGUUUUUGGAACUAACCCCUUCAUGCUUCUUGGAUCCAGUGCCCUGCUGCUGGGUUGGCUCUUCCUCAGUGUGCUUCGCCGACCCUGUAGUCAACUCUUCUACCGCACGCUCUACAGAUUCAACCUUCUCGGUGAGAAGUUUGAUCUGCUUUUCACAGCUACCAAGACCAUUCAGCAUCUUGGUUGAAAAGCUUUCGAAGCAUUGGUCGAAGUGCGCUUUCAUAGUAGCGACAACUCCGACCCCUUCAUCACCAACGAAUGAUGCGGCAGAUGCAGAGGCUGUGCAGGGUCUCUUGCGACUUGAUUCAUCUGAGGGAAGGCUCCUCUUUCAGGCUUCUGACUUGACGAUGUGUGCACCCAAAACACCUUCCAAAGGCCAAUGGUCUUUUGAGAACUUGGAAUUGGGGUCAUGGAGUGCAUUGACAAUCUUUACAAUAUCUGGAUCCUGUUCGUCAUCAUCCCACACGGGAAACAUAUCCGCCAAGUCCUUAGCCACGCAGGACUGUAUGCGAGCCUGGAAAAACACGAUUAAUAAAUAGAUUUAGAGCCAUAUGAAGCCUCGGAAAACUACGUAUGAAGUCUACUCCUGAAAUCUAACAUAGAAGUCUACCCCUGAAGUCUAACACAGAAGUCUACUCCUGAAUGUCACACACUAUUAAUGACACAUAUAGAAGUCUACACAUGAAGUCUACUUCUGAAGUCUACAUUGAAAACUCAUUACUACAUAGAAGUCUACUACACUAAUACAGUACUUGUUUUAGCAUGUUGGCUUUGACGUUCCUUCGUCCUCUGGAUCCUUUGUAAGCCAGCAAAAGAGGUUCUUCAGUAACAUUUGGCAAUGGUUCGCCAAAUUCAGCAGCAAAAUCUGGUAAAGCAUAGUAAACCCACAGUUGAAGAGCUUGCACAAAUCCUUCUAUAUGAAUGUUUUUGCUGAGAUCUUUCUCCUUAACAGAAUUGAUCAAAUGCUGAAAAGCAAUUCUUCCCCAUGGAAACUCCUUAAAACCUUCGAGAUUCAUCACUAGUCUGGCAUGGUUGACAUUUGUGGAUGAGCCGGGUCUCGUUGCCACUAUGAAACCAGCGUAGAUCCCAAGAUAACCCAACCGCAGCCUAUCAUCACGAGACCAUGAUGAGCAGUUGGAACAGGCUUCGAUAAUUUUGGUAGUGCUUGGGCCCGACUCGGCAUCGACCCCCAUUAGCUCCAAAAUGCACGCGUGUCAUCGGAAAGCGCAAGAUCAGUUAAAGCCAAGUCAUCCACGUACCCGCAGUUAAGUCCGGUGAUCUCCUCAAACUCAUGCAAUAAAAACCGAACAGGAGUGGUACCAAUGAGGCUCCAUAUCUCGUACCUCUGCUUGCAAACUAUCUGAAAGGUCAGCAUGUGGUGCACCAGCCUAGAAGCCCAACCAAAAUCCAACUCGUGGAACUUUAAAAAGACACCCAACGGUGACUCGUAAAUCUCUUCCCAUUCAUCCUCCUCUAGAGCUGACUUUAGUGCAUGGACCAGCCUAUAAUCAUCAGCGUAAUAGCCGAUGCUUUUAUCCGGGACUGGCUCAAACCCUUUGGUGUAAAGUCUUCUGGGGAAUUCAGAGGCCAUUAUCUAACAAAGAUUCCUGCGUCAACAGUAACAAAGCUCUAAUGAGAAAAACUAGUAACGGUUUGAAACUAUACCCGAAUGAAGUCUACAGUUUCAAAAUGAAGUCUACUUUAUUAAAAUGAAGUCUACUUUCCCAAAAUAAAGUCUACUUUCCCAAAAUGAAGUCUACUUUCCCAAUAUGUGAAGUCUACUUUCAGUAAAAGAAGUCUACUUUCACAAAAAGAAGUCUACUUUCACAAAAAGAAGUCUACUUUCACAAAAUGAAGUCUACUUUCACAAAAUGAAGUCUACUUUCACAAAAUGAAGUCUACUUUCACAAAAUGAAGUUUACUUUCACAAAUGAAGUCUACUUUCACAAAAUGAAUUCUACUUUCACUAAAAUUACAGUAUAUGAAGUCAAUCUACAAAGUUUAGAGUGUUACCGCCUUUAUUAGAUGUAGCUGGCGCCGAGAAAAUACAACCAGAUCUGGUAAAAAAACCUAAGUCAAACCCGACGGAACAAAAAUUACAGGAAGAUAGAAGAAAUUUAAGAAUUGCUAAGGAUAUAACUUCGGAACAACAUCUACUAACCGUUUUGAGGCAGAAAAUUACUUUAACCUCCAACGGCGAAAGCAAAUCUGCAAAAAAAAACAAAAACCCUAAUUUCGGAUCUCGAAAACGGAACGGUGAUGAAUACAGAGGAGUAGGGAAGCAUGGGGGUGUGGUUGGAGAAAGAAAACUUGCCUGAACGAGUUUAUCGGCGGCAGUUCUGAAUGUCGACGGCGCCGGAGCAGAGAAACGGAAAUUGCCUUCGAGUUUUUUUUUUUACACGAACUUUUCGACGGUUUUUUUUUAACGGGAUCUGUAAUUCGUAUAUAUAGUCUGGUAAUUCCGUACGGUUCGGGUAAGUUUUUUCCGGUUAAAGUUGCUAAUUUUUCGGGGUCUAGGUUAAUUUACCCGGUUAAGGGCAGUUUCUCUUGGUUAAGGGAAGUUAUUUCCGGUUUAAUCUCGGUUAAAUAUCCGUUAGGUUAAUUUUUACGGUUUAGUAGACUUCAAUAUCGAAGUCUACAACUUUUAAAACCUAAAUAAUAAAUUUAUUUCUAUUUAAUUUAAAAACAUACAUUUCCAUUUACCAAUGUGAAAAAACUAAUUUUUUUGUAUUUGGGUUACUAUUAUGGAAUUUAUGAUGGUAAAAUUCAGACCAAAAUAAUUUUUUAUAAAUUUUUAAAUUAAAUUUACAGAUUUAAUUAUUUAGUAGACUUCAGUUUUACUUUAGUAGACUUCGUAAGGGAGAAAACGGUAAUUAGGAUAUCCGUUUUUUGUUUACACAUACAGGAUUAAAUGGUUUUUUCACUACCCCUGUAGAUUAUAUCUGUCAAAUGUUUUUUCAGGAGUCUACUUUUGUAUUCAAAAUCAAAUUUUGGGUUAUUUUUAGCAAAAACCCCAUAUUUUAAAAUGUUUACUCAAAUAAUAAUAUAGAGAUUCGUUGGACUCCCCCUUUUAGAACUUGGAGAUUUUGUUCAUUGUUUCUAAUUCUUGAAAGUUAUUGUUUCUCGUUGCAGGUUAUAAAAGCUUGAGGAGAUUAAGAGACCUGGAGAUUCUGGAUCUCUCCUGGAAUAAUUUCAACAACAGCAUCUUUCCCUUUCUUAACGCUGCUACAUCACUCACAACUCUGUUUCUUAGGGGCAACAAAAUGGUUGGCCCUUUUUCGGUUAAAGGUAUGUUUCCCAUUUGUAUAUAUAUAGCAUGUCCUAAUUAUUUUAGGGACGAUGUAUCAUUCUUAUAUUUUGUUGGACUCCAUUUCAGAACUCAAAGAUUUGACAAACUUGGAACUGCUGGACCUGAGUGCAAACAGUUAUAACGGCUCCAUACCAGUACGAGGUAGUCCAUUAAUGCUUGCUCACUUACAACAUUUGUUGGAUUGGUUUGCCUCGUCCUUGAGAUGAACAUAUCCAUAUUUUGUUACCUUUGUCUGUGGCAGAGAUAACUUCGCUCAGGAAGUUGAAAGCUCUGGAUCUAAGUGAUAAUGAAUUUUCGGGUUCAAUGGAUUUGCAAGGCAAGUUUGCUCAAAUAUUUCACUUUUUCAUAUUAAAACAAUAAACAAAAACAAUAAACAAAGGUUGUGGUUGAAUUCACGUUAAUCAAAGUGACUAAACUUUUUGCAUCUGAUUACCUUAGGUAUUUGCAAAUUGAAGAAUAUGCAAGAGCUCGAUCUCAGUUACAACAAACUUGUAGGUCAGUUUCCCUUAUGUUUAACUAGCUUGACUGAACUUCGAGUUCUUGAUCUCUCAUCAAACCAGUUGACUGGGGAGAUCCCAUCUGCUCUCGGUAACCUUGAAUCCCUUGAGUAUUUAUCAUUGUUAGAUAACGACUUUGAAGGCUUCUUCUCAUUUGGUUGGCUCGUCAAACUCUCAGAGCUUAAAGUGUUGAAACUUGGCUCAAAAUCCAACUCGUUUCAAGUAGAUUCUAAGAGUUCCUGGAAACCAAAAUUUCGGCUGAAUGUUAUUGUACUACGAUCUUGCAACUUGGAAAUAGUUCCUCGUUUUCUCCUACAGCAGAAAGGUUUGAAUUAUGUUGAUCUUUCCGACAAUAAAAUUUCUGGAAACUUUCCUUGUUGGCUAUUGGCGAACAAUACAGAGCUCGAAGUUUUGCUUCUGAAGAAUAAUAUUCUUACGAGCUUUCAGCUACCGGAAUCUGCUCAUGAUCUAGUUGCCCUUGACGUGUCAGUCAAUGAAUUCAAUCAUAUGUUUCCUGAGAACAUUGGGUUGAUACUUCCACAUUUACGGUAUAUGAAUAUAUCGAAGAACGGCUUUCAAGGAAAUCUGCCAUCUUCUCUGGGUAACAUGAGUGGGAUUAAAAGUCUGGAUGUAUCUCACAACAGUUUCCAGGGAAAGCUACCAAGAAGCUUAGUAAAGGGUUGUUAUAACUUGGCUUACUUGAAGUUGUCACAUAACAAACUAAGUGGAGAGGUUUUUCCAGAAUCAGCAGAGUUAUAUGAUUUACGUUGGCUGUAUAUGGAUAACAAUCAGUUUACAGGAAAUAUUGGACAAGGUUUGCAGAACUUGACAUUUUUGCAUAUCCUUGAUAUAUCGAAUAACAAUCUCACGGGUGUUAUUCCAAGCUGGGUUGGCGAACUUCCAAGGUUAUAUGCAAUACUGCUUUCAAACAACUCGUUGGAAGGUGAAAUACCUACGUCGUUGUUCAACAAAACUUUUCUUCUGCUAUUGGACCUCUCUGCAAACAGUUUAUCUGGGGGAUUACCUCCACACGUCGAUUCUACAAGGCCGGUAAUAUUGCUCCUGCAAGACAAUCAUCUAUCAGGAGAUAUUCCAGACACAUUUCUAGGACAUGUCAGCAUACUUGAUCUGAGAAACAACAGAUUGUCUGGGAAUAUACCGGAGUUCAUCAACACCCAAAGCAUCAGUGUUCUUCUUCUCCGAGGGAAUAAUUUAACAGGACGCAUUCCUCGCCAGUUGUGUGGCCUAAGAAACAUCCAACUUCUGGAUCUUGCCAACAACAGAUUGAAUGGAUCCAUACCUUCAUGUCUCAGCAAUACAUCAUUUGCUUUGGGGAAAGAGGAUGAUGGAUUCGAUGGUUAUGGUUUCAUUUAUGGUACAAUUAGUGAUUAUUAUGAUGAUGUCGAUAUAUAUUUCAAACCUCUUCUUGAGCUAGCUCCGCUUUCUUCGCAAAUCGUGGUAGCCACCCAGACGAAAGUUGAAUUUGCAACAAAACAUCGAUACGAUGCCUACAUGACGCGUGGAAUUCUCAAAUAUCUGUUUGGGCUAGAUCUCUCUGAAAAUGAGCUAAGCGGUGAGAUUCCAAUAGAGCUUGGAGGUCUUCUAAAGAUACAAGCUCUCAAUCUUUCUCACAACAACUUAUCAGGAGGGAUACCAGAAAGCUUUUCAGGUCUGAACAAUGUGGAAAGCCUUGAUCUUUCCUUCAACAGAUUACAAGGCCGGAUCCCAUCAAGACUAGCAGAUCUGAGCAGCCUAGCUGUGUUCAAUGUCUCAUACAACAACUUAUCAGGAGCCAUUCCACUGGGAAGACAGUUUAACACCUUCGAUACACAAAGCUACUUAGGUAAUCCUCUUCUCUGUGGGAAACCAACCGACAUAAGCUGCAACGGUAACACCAUUCAAGCACCAGAUAAUGUAGCCAGAGAUGAAGAAAGCACAAUCGACAUGGUUUCUUUCUACUGGAGUUUUGCUGCAGCCUAUGUUACAGUACUUCUUGGAGUACUUGCAUCUCUCUCUUUUGAUUCUCCUUGGAGUAGGUUUUGGUUCUACACGGUUGAUGCUUUCAUCC